rnacentral:lncRNA from 1 species
CCGCGGUGGAUUCAGUGGCGCAUCUUCUGCAAGAAGAGAAAUGGAAGGAGAUCAGGAGAUGAUAUGAGAAAGGAAAAGGAGUAGGAUUUUGAUAAUUGCCUAGCUAGCUUUGGUUAGGGGUUUCUUGUACAGUUUCAGAGGACGUUGUAGCUCAUUCUGGGGAACUUGAAUGGGAAAUUUCUCAGUUUUUAGUUUGCUCAUGCGACACAUCACUGUGCCUCCCAGUUUACAGUUUACUCCUCAUUUCGCAGUUCGUUUGCAUGUGAUGUGAUUCUAAUAAUGUCCACCGGGCUAUUAAAAGAACAUCUCACGCCCAUAUACUAGUACACUAACGCCCGCUUAGGAUGGGUGCAAGUUUAUACGCUAUUUAUUUUGACUUUAGCUAGAUUUCAGUUAGCUGAAUUUUUGUUUUGUGGUCAAUCGAUUUUCUGGCCUUUGGAUUGCGCUUUAAGAUUUGUGUAGUUUUUCUUUCUGUCAUGUUUUGCUGGUGGUAUUGGGCUGUUUGGAUUUGAUUCACACCGAUUUUGGGUCAGUCGAUUUCGCUCUUGGGCCCAAUUUUGGUGCGUGCAUGCUUUUUUUCCAUGUGUUUGCUUUUGUUUUUUGCACGUGUAGUUUUUUUUUAUUUUUCAGUUGAGUUUUUUUUUCUUUAUGUGUAUUUUCGGAUGUUGAGUGCGUGAAAAUGUAUACAUGCAAGUACUAGAUGUACAAAUUACAUUAAAGUACGGAAACUUCACUCUUAUAUAUUUAUUCUGCAUAUUAUCAAAAGUGCAUUUUUUGCUAAUUUUGUGUUUUUUUGUGUUUUUAUUUUCUUUAUAUUAUUUAAGGGUAAUACCAAUGCUAAUUGUUUUGUGCUAUUUUUUUCUAAUUAAAUACAAUUUUCUAUUAUUAUGUGUAUGUAUGCAUGAAAGUACUAUACAAUAUGUGUGUAAAUUAUACCGCUAAAGUUGCGUUAUUAUAUGUGUAUUCACUGCAUAUUAUUAAAAGUGCAAUUUCACUGCAAAGUUGUGUUCAAGUCUUUUCUUUAUUUUCUUUCUUCCUCAGAGUAAUACCAAUGUCGCUAAUUUAUCCCCUCUUAGAAAACUCUAUUUGUUUUACCAUGUUUAGUUUUGAAUUCAUUUCUGGUUUACAAGGACAAUACCAAUGCAACUUAUUCGUUCCUUGUUUAAAAACUUUGUUUUUAUGUAAAAUUCACUAUUAUAUGUUUAUUCUUAGAUAACUCAAAAACUGCAAUUUAUGUGUAAAUUGUGUGCAAAUUGCAUCAUUUUUUUUUAAUUCCUUUCUUUUUAAAAGGUGGUACCAAUGCCACUAUACUUCAUUUCUUCUUAGAAAAUUUACUUUUAUUUUUGUGUUUGUAAGUAAGUAUACACGCAAGUAUGAUACACCAUGUGUGUAAAUUAUAGUAGAGAGCAAAAAUUGCACUGUAUAUGCUUAUUUUUGGCAUAUUACAGAAGUGCAAUUUUAAGGCAUAGUUGUGUGCAAGUUAUUUUUUAAUUUACUUUCUACUUAAGGGGUUUCAUUUCCCCCUAUUUAGUAGUUUUUUGUUUUUUAUAUUUUCUUUCUUCUUAAAGGGUUCCAUUCUUACAUAGAAAACUUCAUUAUUUUGUUUUAUUUUUAGUUUUUGUAUUUUGUUUUCUUAAAGGGUUUCAUUCUUCCAUAGAAAACUUUAUUAUUUUGUUUUGGUUAUUUAUUUAUUUUUAUUUUCUUUCUUCUUAAAGGGUUUCAUUCUUCCCUAGAAGACUUCAUUACUUUGUUUUGUUGUUGUUUUUUAUUUUCUUUCUUCUUAAAGAGUUUCAAUCUUCCCUAGAAAAUUUCAUUUUUUUGGAUUUAUUUCUUUCUUCUUAAAUGGUUUUAUUCUUCCCUAGAAAAGUUUAUUAUUUUGUUUUCAUUUUAAUUUUAAUUUCAUUUCAUUUUCUUUUUUUAAUGGCAAUACCUUUAUUCCUGCAUAUUAUAACAAAGCGCAAUUUUCGUGUAAAUUGCGUGCAAAUAUUGCCAUUACUUGUUUUUUUAUUGCCUUUCUUCUUAAAGGGUACUGUCAAUGUUCGGAUUUUUGAUUUUCUUUAUUCUUCAAGGGUAAUAUUAAAUGCCAAUGAUUCAUUUUAGCUUAGAAGACUUCAUUAGUAUGAUUUUUUUGUUUCUACUUUUUCUUACUUCUUUAAGGGCAUUAGCAACUCCGGUAAUUCAUUUUUCAGAGAAAACAUCUUUUUUGCAAAAGUUCCACUAACAUAUGCUUAUUCUUGCAUAUUUUAAAAAACAAUUUAUGUACAUAUUGUGUGCAAGUUUUAUCAUUAUUCAUUUUAUUUUAUCAUUAUUCAUUUUGUUUCUGUACGGUUGACGGUGUAGGAGUGCAACUUGCUUGAGGUUAGGCACAAGGCUAAUCCAUCAAUCAUCCUGCGCUCAACGACAAAAGCAGGCACACAAAGCAGCAUACAAUUACUACGUACCACAAAUUAGUUUGGAUGAAAAGAAGGACGUAUGUAUCAUGCGCCCAUGCUUAUGCAUGCAGAAUGUUUCAUGCGUACACGCACGCAUGCGUAAAUACAUAUCAUGCACGCGUGCGAAAUGUGUACAUGCAUAGCGAAUCUGUAAUGGGCUGGCUACCAAACACAAGUGUUGUUUGUCGACUCGACUGACCCAGAAAUAAGAUCAGUCGACUUACCUGUAGUCGCUCUCAUUUAUUUUACAGGUAUACUAGCAAACAUGCCAAGCAUGCCCCUGCGUUGCCACGUGAGAAAAAAAAAUCACCCCUCAUACACACUCGACAACAUCAACAAAUCACUUGAAAUCUUUCACGGUACGAUACAAGAAACAAUAUGAUAAGUGGUGUUGUACACAAACAUAAAGGAUUGGAUGAUUUUUUAAGUGUACUGAGGUUGUGUCCAAUUUAUUAGACAACAAAAAUAUCUACCUAGCUGCCACUAUCAAUUCAUGUCUUUGCUACGUUCCUCCUCAAUGAUAUUCAACAAACAGUGCAUUAGGCUAGAAAUAGCAAACGACACUUUAGUACUCAAUGAUAGCAUGUGCAUAACAGCAUUAUUUUUGUUUUGUUGAUAUAUAUGUUUGCAACUGUAAUCCAUGUCAAGACUUAAUGUGGUUGCAAACAUAUUAGAUAUCUCCGUCGAAAACAAUCAAUCUAUAUGGACAUGCAUAACGAAUAUGCAUUUCCAAUAAUCCCCAUUCAAAUAAAAGUACUAACUAAGGGUGCAACAUAAACAUAGUUCUAGAAAUAACUAACAUCCAAGAUAAUAUCAUAUUUGAAAUCUACCCCAUAUAAAGAAAAGUAUCAAUUAAGGUUGCAACAUAAACAUAAUUUUAGAAAUAAUUAACAUGCAAGAUAAUAUCAUAUUUGGAAUCUAUACAUUUUUCUGAGCGAUUUCCAUAUAUAACACUUUAAAUUUGAAGUUAGGUUUUGAAAGAUAUGAAUAUUUUGAAAAGUAUUUGAAUCUGCCAAAAAAAGAACUUUUUUUAAAAGAAAGUAGUUGCACCGUAAUUGCAACACUGUGCAGCCCAUUUGCUAAGAUGACACUUGAGCAAGCAGCUCUAUCUUACGCCAACCUGAAAUCAAGGAGGAAAGGGAGAAAAAAAAGGGAGAAGGAGAACUCAAACUCAGGUCUCCCGGGUGGUAGAGGAAGGCUCAAGCUAGUAGGACGCUUGUGCACUUGUUAAUUUUGAUGUGAUAAUUGUGUACAUGAACAAAACACAAUGGACGUCGAGUAUAAUGAAAAAACGAAUCGUUUUAGCCACUUACGGGUGACAGUGGAGGUAAAUAUUAUAAUUUUUAGGACACUUUUAAUGACAGUGAACGGGCAAAAGCAAUCCGUGCUUUAUUAUUUGAUAUAAUAUAGAUAUAUAUAUAUAUAUUGCCGGUCAACACUUGAUUUCCAUCUGAAAGGAAAACGACGCGUCAAGAUCUAUAUCUUAAACUGAUCAAAUACAAGCGGAACGAUAAUCCAAGUAGGGCGUAAAGGAAAAAAAAAUCUCAGCACAAACUGAGGAUUGUAGAUGAGAGAACAAUUUAGCCUCUAAAAUCCUCAAAUUUUCAACUUAAGAAAAGGACAAGAAUAUAUGAAUAGUCCUAACUCAAGAACUGAAGUUGAAGUAUUACGUCUCCCUUCUUCUCGUAGAAAUUGGGGUAAAAUGGAAUAACGUACCACCACCCAUUAUGGUUUUGCAUUAAUUUGGGGCUUGGUUAACUGGAUAGAGUCUAAGACAACGACACAUAAUCCAAGUUGGAGUGUACUUUAGGCCAUAUGGAAUGUUUGGAAUGAUGUUGCCUUUAACAAAUAAACCAUCACAAUUUUUUUGCAGGUUAUCUUCAGACCAUCUGUUUGGAUCCGUGCGUGGUCAUUACUCAGCCAUGCGGACCAUAUGAAGCUUAUGGAUAUUGGGUGCAACCAAUGAGAGAUGGUUGCAUGGGAUACUUACAACCAGUUUGGAUGUCGGUCCAAUAAUAGGAUAUGUGUCUAGUCAUCCUAUUUUUGCCGAUUGUGGCAAUUUUUUUAUUAGAUUCGCUCUUUUUUCUGAGAUCUUAUUCAGAACUUGAUUUUUUUAAUAAUAUGGUUGUGUGCAUCAAGAGAUGCAGCGGCCGGGGGUACUCCUCCUUCAAAAAAUGGGACAUCACGAGGUGGGAUAUUGGCAGCUGCCAUUCAAGGCAUCUCUAACCAGGCUCCCCACUCUCCCAUGUAAGUCCGAAUGGACGGCCCGGGUAAGGCUCAAACAAGAGCGAGAAAAAAUAAGAGCCUACCCAACCAAGCCAUCCAUUUCCUCCCUACAUGUCCAGGCUGUCCGACACCCCUCAAAUCCACACUUUCCCAACCCGAACAAGGCCUGAACAGAAGAGAGAGAGAGAGAGAGAGAGAGAGAGAGAGAGAGAAGGAGAGAAGCCUACCCAACCAGCCCUCCGUUACCUCCGAGUUUGAGGGGUGUCGGACUGUCAAACAUAGGAGGUGAGCGCGUGGCUGCAAAGCGCGGCGACCGCGAGGGUCAGGUGGUAGCAGAGGUUCCAUCGAAUGAGCUGGGCAUAGAGGAACGCGAGCGUGGAGAGAAAUGUGGCGGCAUGCACGGAGAAAAGCGCCCGACUUCAGGACGUCAUAGAAGUUGCGGAGAAGGGCCAUACUGUGGCAGAGGAGGAGAGCCAUGACGGUGGCUUCCAAUGGUGGCAGUUGAGGGCCAUACCCACGACGGAGCUUGUAUAGUGGUUGCAGUUGGGGUUGUGGCAGUGGCUUGCUGCAGUGGGUUGUGUCGGCAAGGUCACCGGAGCUUGCGCCCUCUCGGAGGUAGGGUUGCUCCGACGUGCACGCCUCAUCUGUGCAGGGUGUGCUCUGCUCGUGCUCCAGCGGUGCCGCACAUGACCUACUCAAUGGAUUGUGUGAAAUAGGGAGGACAAUUUAGGGGGUGUGGUUGUAUGACAUGAAAAGUGGGGGUUCAAAGCAUACACGCGCAAACACUGUCGAGAUGUAUCCGAAGGAGGAUAGAUUUGUGCAUUAUAGUUGUAGAUAUUGUCACAAAUCAAAAUGGGAUACUUGUUUUCUAGAGGUCCCUUGUGUUGUACAAACUAGAUGAUACCUCGUGGGUUUAAUAAGAUAUCGUUGUAUGGAACAUGAAUAUUUGUGUUAACAACAUGAGAACUAAAACUGAAAAAUGCAUAUGAUUUAUUGCAUGGAAUUAUUUUGUAGUUGUAAAAUAAUUACUGAAUAUAAACUGUAUAAUAAAAUGGGAAGCAUUUUUUCGUGUGUGGUUUCUUGUUGUGGAGAACCUUUCCAUGCACGGUUGCAUGUCAGUACUACAAAUCUGGACACUAAUGACCGCUCAUCAUUGACCACUAACCACACGUCAGUGAUGAGGGUCAUCACAGGUGGGCCAGCAAAAACUCGUGAGUGUUAUUGCUCUGAGGGUUCUUGACACUGACUGCACUAAUUUUGGACCGUCUGUGAUAUGGUCUUCUUCAAUCUCCAUUCACUUCUUGCGAGCCAGAUUGCUAUCACAGCGGCGCUCAAAACUAACAUGUGUGUGAUAUGUGUUUAUCACUAACCAACGAGUUAGUGGUCAGUUAUUGGUGUCGGUACAACAUUUAAUCGGUGUAAGUGCAUCUAGUGCCCCUUGGUGAUUUUGGUGUAUUGAAGACUUAUAGGUUAAGAGACUAAUAUGUUUGUGAGUGUACACAGGUUCUAUAAGUCGAUGAGGAGUUUGAUAUUUACAGUGAAAGUCGACCCCUAAAAAUGAAUGUCUUCGGCUGAAGACUUUGGUUCUCCUGAAGACUUUAAAAGUGAAGAAAUUGGUGCGACCUUAAAGACUUGGAUAUUCAUGCGAGGAUUAUGAAGCGUGAAGACUUUUGUUUUCGUAGUUUCAUUUUAUUUUUCUUGAGUCAUAGGAAACACCGUACUGUUAAAGACGGUCGAGGUAAUAGUAAGGAAACUGAUUUCCAUGUGAUGCUCAUCUCAAAAUCCUACACCUACCCAAUCCUUCGAGUGAAGCCAUUGGAAAUCUCAUAUCAGUUCAGUCAAUUUCUUCAGUGAUAGAGACGAAGAUCUUCUGGUCUCUGAGGAAUUUGUUCUGACUGAGGAGUUAGGAAUUCGCCAGUGCGGAUUGCCUACAUAAUGAGGAACAUGAUAGCCCUGAGGAAUUCGAACCUCAAAUAUUCGACCAUUGUUGUGCUACGCGCCAGCUGUCUCAAAAAUAUCUACCACCUAAUGGUCAUAUCAGCCAAGGGCAUUUAUGUCUUAUCAUGUCGGGCUGCUCCCUAGGCUAUAAUUAGCCACCCCCUACAACCACUAGCCGGUUGGCUGCUCCGAGAGAAACUGACACUUGUCAUUUGAGAGCAUCCCAUCCUUUGAGGACUUUGAGCGAAAAUCAUCAAGUGAGGAAGUACCCAAAUCCCAAACCCAAACCUACAAACCCCAAAGUGAUUGAGCAUCACUGAAGAGAUUGCUCUUGUGUGGAACCGACACUUGUUACCUUUGAGGACUGUGUAUCCUCCAGACGGUUAGGCGUCAUGGUUUGAGCAUCCAAGAGGAAUUGUGGAUUACCGAGUGACCAAGUCUGUGAAGGUUUCGAAGUCACCUGUGAAGACUUACCACUACUGUUGGGCGAGAUUUGCGUGAUCGUAGCUCAAGGAGAAUACGAUGAGGACUGUGUGUCCGGUACUGUGUGUCCUCGAGUUUAAAUACUCAGCCGCUCCAACCAGACGAACAACUGUCACAGCAGUUGAAACUGGUUGACCAAAUCAUUGUCUUCACCAAGCCUACUGGUUCUAUUUUCUCAACCCUUUCAUUUCCUCAAUUAUGUGUUGAUGAACCUGAUCAUUACUAUUUAAAGACUUUGACUGAAGACUUUCUCUAAUUCCUCAAUCCUAUUUCUUCAGUCAGUUUGUCUUCAUCCUGUUAUCAUGUGUUUACGCUUUCUGUACUUUGUGUUUUGUCUUUCAUUUCAUCAUGAAGACUGUGUUGUUGCUCUAUUAUGCUUACACCCGAGUACUUAUUCCGCUGCAAGUAGUUCUUUGCUUAGAAAUUUCCUCACUCUAAAAUUCCUCAGUGAAGAAUUCAUAAAAAUCGCCUAUUCACCACCCUCUAGUCGACGUAAUGCACUUUCAAUUGAUAUCAGAGCAAGGUACUCCCUUGUUCUGUGUGAUUUUGGUUUAACCACCUGGACUUUUAGUUAUGUCGACUGCAGGUAUGAUCAAGGUCUCGGCUGAGUGUCCUACCUUUGAUGGGACAUACUACCCCUACUGGAAGAACAAGGUGCGCAUGCAUCUUGAGGUAAUUGAUAACGAUCUCUGGUAUGUUGUGUAAAAUGGCGCCCCCUCAGUCACUCCGUCUCUGAAUGCUACUGAUGUGAAGAGAUUCAAGCAACUCGAUUUUCAAGCAAAGAAUAUCAUAUGCGGCCAUCUGAGCAAAGGACAGUACGGCAGAGUGAGUGCACUGGAAACUGCCAAGCUAAUUUGGGACAGGCUCUCCAAGGUCAACGAAGGAGUCUCAACUCAACGUGACUCCCGAGUUGAUGUUCUUCGCAAUCUCUUCAACCGCUUCAAAAGACUCCACAACCAAAAUGUCCAGCAAACCUUCAAUCGCCUCACUGACAUCUCAAAUGAGCUUUAAGCACUUGUUGCCACUAACAUCACCGAUCAUGAGGUGGUGAAGAAAUUGCCGAGAUCACUUGACACCUCAUUCGAUACACUUGCACUAAUGAUUCAAGAACGAGAUGAUUACAAGUCACUAGAUCCCGCUGAUAUCCUCGAGAGGCUAAACACACAUGAGUUCCAGCUUGCUGAGAAGAGAGAUCUCUAUGGAUCGAGCUACGGAAGACACAUGCACUGAAGGCCAAGGAAGUCUCUGAGUCUGAAGCUGAAGAUUCUGGUAGCAGCCUGAGUGAUCCUGAAGAACUGAGCCAGGAGCUAGCAAUGCUCGUGAGGAAAUUCUAGAAGUUUUCUUGCCGUGGUUGUUUUGGAAAGUCUUCAAAAAAUAAUGAUUCCUUGUCCCGUGACUACAAAAAGAGAACUUGCCAAAAAUGCAAGAAACCUGGUCACUACAUGUCUGAUUGUCCUCUGUGGGAAAAGGAAUCAAAGAAGAAGAAGUACAAAGAUGACGAUUCUGAUGACUCGAAGAAAAAGAAGAAAUCUUCAAAGUCUUUAUCAUCAAAAUCUUCAAAGUCUUCAUCUCACAACAAGAGCAGUUCCAAGAAGGCCCGGGCAUUCAUUGGCAACGAAAUGGACUCUGAAGCUGAAUCCGAGGAAAAUAUGGAAGAGGAGGAAUCUGAGGAGUCAGACUCUGGUUGUGAGAGCUUAGCCCUCGCUACUGCUUAUGUCAGCAAGUCCAUCUUCAACACUAAAGAAAAUGACCUCCCCAACUCUGCUGAGAAAAGCGUCGAUGACUAUGCUCCCACCUAUUGCUUCAUGGCAAAAGGUGCCAAGGUACUCAAACAUUCCCCCUCUAACUCUAGUGAGGAUGAAUCUGAUGAAAAUCUUAAGCCUAGCUAUUCCGAACUUGCCAGAAUUGCUGUUAAAAAACGGAAGGCUUUAGAAAAGAUUCAAAAUCAACUAGUCAGAAGCGAUGACCUGUUGGGUGAGGAAUUGAAUCGAACCAAGUCUCUAACUGAUAAUCAUCAAAGACUUCAAACUAAGUUUGACAACCUUCAAAAUCAUCAUAACACUCUCUUAACUGAUCAUGAGAAGCUUUCUUAUGAAUUUAUUCAAAGAAAGCAAGAUCUUGAAAAGUUAAGAGUGAGGUAUGAAGAUCUUCAGAAGGAAAACGAUUCAUUGCUUUCUCAACAGACCAGUUCCGCUCAGAAAGAAUUUAUUCCACCAUGUCUUAAAUGCAUUGAACGUGAAUCUGCUAAUUCAUCACCUGAAUGUUCAAAUGCUUCUAUUGCUGCAAAUUCUUCAACUGUCUCUGUGAUCACAAAUUCCUCAUCUGAGGAUACCACAAGUAUCACUGACGACAAUGCAGGUCUGAAGGAAUUGUAUGUGACAAGCAUUUACAAAAGCCUCAAAGGGCAUCAAACUCUAUGUGAUGUGCUUAAAAAGCAGAUCUUGAACAGGAACCCUAGGAAAGAGGGUAUUACCUUUGAGAGGAAACUUAAUGCUGAUGGGACCUACUGGAAACCUGAGCAGUAUCCCAAAACCUCAUGGGUUGCUGCGAAAGGACCUCCUAUAGAUCCAUGCACUUUAUCUGGCUUUACCUGUGACUCUUCAUAUUCCUCUGGUGAGUCAUUCGACUCCAACUAUAAGCUGUUUAAGAAUCAUAAUGGUGAAGUAUUUGCUCGAUAUGUUGGAACUAACUGCAGGAACGGUCCCCCUGUGAAGAAAAUCUGGGUUCCUAAAAGAUGCCUUGAAAAAUCUUCAAGUGAAUGUCAUCAUGACACCACCCAUGAAGAAUAGGAACCCCAGAUUAAAUUCUUCACAUUGAUCAAAAUCUUCAUAUGGAUCCAAGUCCUCAUAUGGACCAAAUCCUUCAUAUCGAUCAAAUUCCUCACAAGGAUCAAAAUCCUCAUAUGAACAUCAUCGUGCUAACACUUCUGUUUCGCAGGGAAAGUCUAAGGGUCAUGAAUAUGUGCAUUAUUCUUCAAACCAUUAUGUUCAUAAGUCCUCGAAGAAUUUCUCUGCUUAUGCAUAUGCUUAUCCUAACCACUCUUCUAUGAAACGAAGUGCACUGGCUUCAAUACCAUCUUUUUCUUAUGGAGCUCGCAAAAUGAUGAACUCUUUGCCACCCUUCCAGAUGUGGGUGGUGAAGAAAAACAACUAAUCUCUUAUGCAGGGUCAGGUCUCCAGACAAACUUGAUCGUCUGAAGAAAUUGCUGGAGACCUGAAUGUGCUUGAAAGGACGCAAGCUAAACAUGAAGAAAUGAAUCAUUCAUUUCUCACCUCCUCAUAUUGCUAUAUCUGUUACUGUUGAUGAAAUCGAUAUCAUAUUCUUCACUGAUUUAGUAUAUGGGUUCGUAAGUUGCACUAAUUCAUGUGCAGGAUGAACAACCCAAAGCUACUGAGUGGGUCCUCGAUAGUGGAUGUACAAAUCACAUGACUAGUGACAAGAACUUGUUGAUGGACACUGAUUUGUCACCAUCUCAUCUGAAGCAUAUCACUUACGCUGACAAAGGCAAAAGCAAGGUAUUGGGUCUAGGUAAGGUUGUAAUCUCAAAGGAUUGACACAUGGACAAAGUCAUGCUUGUCGAGUCCUUAGGAUUCAACCUCAUGUGUGUCUUAAUGCUUUGUGAUCUAGAUAUGGUUGUUGUCUUUGGAAAAUUUCAUAGCUUUGUGCUAAUGGAAUCUGACAACUCUAAGGUCUUCGAAGGCUUUAGGAAAGGAGACUUGUAUAUUGUUGAUUUCUCUGCAGGACCACAGCCUACCACAUGUCUACUUGCAAAAGCUUCAGAAUGCUGGCUAUGGCAUCGAUGACUUGGUCAUGCUGGGAUGAGGAACUUGCAUACACUCGCGAAGAAGAAGCAUGUCAUUGGCAUCGAGGGUGUCAAAUUCCUCAAAGAUCAUCUUUGUGGGGCUUGUGAGUCUGGAAAGAACACCAGAGCCAAGCAUCCCUCGAAGACUAUCAUGACCAAUUCUCGUCCCUUUGAAUUACUUCAUAUGGAUCUCUUUGGCCCUACUCAUUAUGCCAUGUUCUCUAAUUCUGCAUCAUUAUAUGGCUUUGUCAUAGUUGAUGACUAUUCUCGUUACACAUGGGUGCAUAUCAUCACUUACAAAAAUGAAGUGCAGGAAGUCUUCAGACGUUUUUCCUCAAGGGCUUCCACUAACUUCGGUGUGAAGAUCAAGCAUAUCAGGAGUGAUAAUGGAACUGAGUUCAAGAAUACUGGGCUCGAUGAAUAUCUUGACAUGCUUGGCAUUACUCACGAAUUAUCUGCUCCUUAUACUCCUCAGCAGAAUGGCGUCGUGGAGCGCAAGAACGAGAACUCUUGUUGAGAUGGCUUGCACUAUGCUUGAUGAAUACAAUAUGCCUCAACGCUUCUGGCCUGAAGCAAUUGAUACUGCGUGCCACAUCAUCAACAUGGUAUAUCUUCACAAAUUCUUCAAAAAGACCUCAUAUGAACUCCUCACUGACAAGAAACCCAAUGUAAGUUAUUCCAAAGUCUUCGGUGCUAAAUGCUGGAUUAGAGAUCCUCACCAUCACUCUAAAUUUGCACCGAAAGCACAUGAAGGUUUUAUGCUUGGUUACAGAAAGGACUCGCUCACCUACAGAGUCUUCAACCUAAAUCAUCACAAGGUUGUUGAAACUGUAGACGUGCGGUUCGAUGAAACUAAUGGCUUGCAAAGAGAGCACCUACCUCCUGUGCUAGAUGAAAUGUCACCUAAGGAAUCCAUCAAGUUCAAAGCUACUGAGGAUGUCAUCCCAACUGAAGAAUCUGCUGAAAAAAUCAUUCCAGAUCGUGAAGAAAAUCAUACUGGUGCCGCUGAAGAAACUGGUCCUAAAGAAAAUGCUGGACCUAAGCAAAGUCGUCAACCUGCACAUCCUCGUGUUGCAAACGAAGUGCAAAUCGAGAAGAUCAUCGAUGACAUCAAAGCACCAGGUCCUCUCACGCGCUCAAAAGCUUCACAUUUAUCUAACUUUUGUGGGCAUUUUGCAUUUGUCUCUAUCACAAAGCCCACUAAAGUUGAUGAAGCAUUCAUGGAAUCCGAGUGGAUUCAAGCUAUUCCAGAUGAAUUGCAUCAAUUCGAGCUCAACAAUGUGUGGGAGCUUGUCAAGCGACCAGACCCAUGAAAGCACAACAUCAUCAGUACCAAAUGGAUCUACCGCAACAAACAAGACGAAAAUGGCCUCGUGGUGAGGAAUAAGGCUCGUCUUGUAGCUCAAGGCUACACACAGGUUGAAGGAAUUGAUUUUGAUGAGACUUUUGCACCUGUUGCUAGACUUGAGGCUAUUCACAUAUUGCUUGCUUACGCUAACCAUCAUAAUAUCAUCUUACAUCAAAUGGAUGUGAAAAGUGCAUUCCUCAAUGGUAAGCUUGAGGAAGAAGUAUAUGUUCCUCAACCACCAGGUUUUGAGGAUCCAAAAUUUCUAGAUCACGUCUACAGACUCAACAAGACCCUCUAUGGCCUCAAGCAAGCACCUCGGGCAUGGUAUGACACACUGAAGGAAUUGCUCAUGAAGAAAGGCUUCAAACCUAGUUCACUUGACCCAACUCUUUUCACCAAAGCAUAUGAUGAUGAAUUAUUCGUGUGCCAAAUAUAUGUUGAUGACAUUAUCUUUGGUUGUACUAACCAACAUUACAGUGAUGAAUUUGCCUAUAUGAUGAGUGAAGAAUAUCAAGUGUCUAUGAUGGGAGAAUUGAAAUUCUUUUUAGGUCUUCAAAUUCGUCAACAAUACAAUGGCAUAUUCAUAUCUCAGGAGAAAUACCUCAAGGAUGUAUUGAGGAAAUUCGGCAUGCAAGACUCCAAAGGCGUCAAAAUCUCUAUGCCCAUAAAUGGCCAUCUAUGCACUGAUGAAAAUGGUAAAGACUUCGAUCAAAAGGUAUACCGCUCCAUGAUUGGCUCUUUAUUGUACCUAUGUGCAUCUAGGCCGGAUAUUAUGCUUAGUGUUUGCAUGUGUGCCUGAUUUCAAGCUACACCGAAGGAAUCACACCAUAAGGCUGUGAAGCAUAUUCUUCGAUAUAUAGCUCAAACACCAACACUUGGAUUAUGGUAUCCCAAGGGCUCUUCCUUUGAUCUCAUUGGAUAUUCAGACUCUGACUAUGCUGGAGAUCGGGUGGACCGCAAGUCAACGUCAGGCACAUGUCAUUUCCUCGGAUGAUCCUUGGUAUGUUGGUCCUCGAAGAAACAAAACUACGUAUCACUCUCCACUGCAGAGGCUGAGUACAUUGCUGCUGGAUCUUGCUGUGCUCAAUUGCUGUGGAUGAAGCAAACUCUCAAGGACUAUGGCACCAAUGUGAAGAAUGUGCCGCUCUACUGCGACAAUGAGAGUGCCAUUAAGAUUGCUCACAACCCAGUUCAGCACUCGAAGACAAAGCACAUCCAGAUUCGUCAUCAUUUUCUUCGUGACCAUGUGUUGAAGGGUGACAUCUCCAUCGACCAUGCAAGUACUGAAGACCAGCUGGCUGAUAUCUUUAGAAAGCCCUUGGAUGAGAAGAGAUUUAGCAAGUUGCGGUGUGAGCUAAAUAUCCUAGAAUCUUCAAAUGUUCUUUGAAAAGGACACACAUCCUAGCGCUUAUGCUGACUUGAUGACUUAGAUGUGCAAUACACGAAGUAACAUUUUUCUUCAAUCAAUGAAGACUAACCCUCUAAGUGUGAAGAAAUUAAUGAAGAAAUUGAUUCUCAGAACCUAACGAUAGUUGUACGCGGUGUCUGAAAUCAGCUUUCUUAUACAAUGGGUUACGCCACCAACCAAAGUUGAGAAUCUUCAAUUUGAGUUUUUUCUUCAUUUUUGAAAUUCCUCAGUUUACAAAUUCUUCAACUUUGCAUUACCUUCACCCUUUCCGUCAUUGUUCUUCAUUGACUAUAUAUAUACACUUGAGUUUUUAUGUCCUCUAUAACAUUCACUUAUUGCUAUUUCUUCAAGUUGAUCUUUCGGCUAAGUGAAUGUGAUCGGACCCUUUCCCCUCUAUGCUUAACUCAACCUAGUCUAUUCAAAAAUUCUUCAUGUGCGUUCUGUUUGAAACUCAUUCAAAAUCUUCACCGAGUCCUUGUCAGCUGAAGAAAUUGCGAACGAAACAUUAAAUAUUCCAAAUCUGAUUUUUUCGGUUUCUGCCGCUCAUACCGUUACACAUUCCAUGAUAAAUAUUAUCUAUUCACCCACGAUCUUACACGAUCGCCACCUCACAAUAUGUGGGUGACACAUGUCGCGCGAAUGAGAAGGGUCAGGGGCACGUUCGUCCAAAUUCUUUGGGCGAACAGUUUUUUCACAGUGGCUAUAAAUACCCCCUCCCCUUCCUCAUUUCACUUUGACUCCGCUCGACCUCACUCCCUCGCUCGAGCUUCUCAAACCCUAGCGCCGCCGCUACUUCCAUCAUCGCCGGUGAGGAAGAGCUUCACUGCCUUGACCUCGUCGCCGUCGUACUCGCACCGGACACAGAAAUCUUCACUCCGCCACCACCGUAGACGUCUUCCUCCGCCGAGUUAGGGCGUGGAAGAUCUGAGCCGACGAACUUCCAAAUCUACACUUCCUAUUCGUCAUGUUCUUCAUCAAGGGUCAUUAGAAGUUACUUUUACUACAUUUAUUCUACUGAUGAUUUUCAUCAAAUCUUCAAAAGGUGUUUAUUCUUCAACCUCCACACUCUAAAGAUGUAGCACAAAUCUUCAGCUCUUGAUCUGUUUCUCUAAGUGACGUUUUUCUUCAUGAUUCCUCAAUUGUGUGAAUCUAACAAUCCACACAACUCUAGAACCUAAGUCAAAGAACGCUUAGUGAAAUUCUUCAAGACACAACUGGUCAAUUUCCUCAAACUUGUUCCAUUUUGCAAAACCUUCUGAGAAUGCAUAUGACCUCUCCAAAUUCUUCGCACCUAUACUCUGUUCACAGGUACACAUGUCUGCUGCUGAAUCACUAGGUUCUCAUCAACUUAACUCAUUUGCAGAGUUCCUCCAAGAAAAGUUGCAUACUUCUUCAGAGAACUCAAUUGUUCAAAUUCCUCAGCUGAAGAUAUGGUAGAUGGUAAAAGGCCUCAGAAAAGAGGAAAGAAGCUCGAAGUCAAAACUGCCUUUGAAAUUCCCGAUGACAUUUAUGCAGGGUACUGCAUGCCUGAUGAGGCAACUCAUGGCAAAGAAACCAAGAAUGAGCGCAAGGUGCACAUUCAAAGGAUUGAACGCCGAUGGGCACGGGAGUGGAGAGAUUACAGAUAUGUAACUCCAAAGUAUAUGAAGAAAUUCGCUCUCAACCCUCCUUGCUCAAGACCUCCAUUGGCACCUGAACAAAGAGCUGAUCCAACAAGCCUUAAACAUGGUGAGGAUUAUGCUAGUGAAUGGGCCAGGAAGCAGGCCAAGUUGGCAAAGCAGGCCAAAGGAAGCAGUGAAGAAAUUCAACGAAGAUUCUGAUGCUGUUGCUGCCACUGCUGAGGCUUCUACAAGCAAAAAGGCUAUUCCCAAGAAGCUAGCCAAGAAACCAGCUUCCUCAGCAAUGCCCUCAUGGCCAAGUUCCUCUGUGCCACCUAGGAAAAAUCCUCAAGCUGCCCUAGUUCCUCAAACUGCACCAGUUCCUUGAGUUUCAACACCCUCGGCUCCUCCGACAAAGUCCUCAGCCCCUGUGCAUCUCGCCACGUGCCAACGGACCACAUGCUUCUCUAUUGCCUCAGGAGCUUCUGCAAGUUCUUCAGUUCCUCAUCCGUCUUCAAAGAGCCCAACUUUGUUGAAGACUAAGGCUACCGCAGGACGAGGCACUAGACCAAGUCCUCACAAGAAACAAGUUGCUUUUCAAGUGCCUUAUGAUGAUGAUGAAUUAGCUAAUAUCAUCAAAUAUACACAGCAAAGGGCCCCUAGAGCCAAAGGGAGUGUUGUGCCUCUUCUAUUGGAUCCAAAGAAGAUCCUAGACUUCAUUGACCUCUGGCACAAGGAUCCAAACACUCCUCUGCCAGAGCUGGGCCUCACUCCUGGACAAAAUCACAUGUAGGCAACGUUCAUCACUGAAGAAAACUGGAAAUACGAUCAAGCUAAAGUGGCUAAGAAAGCAUAAUACAAGAAGCAACUCUAUCUAAAGGACAAUGUCCUCAGCCUAUCACCUGAACAACUCCUGCUCUGCAAGCUGAUAUCAAAAAGCUCAGCGAUGAAUUUGAUUCUUACAAGGCAGAAUGGCUGGGAGCCAAGGUUAGAUUCGUCACAUUAGUGAAGAAAUUCACUUCAAGUGUUGCUGGUCCUGUACACAUUGGAGUCACUCUAGCUGAAGCAUCUGCUCAAUCCACUAAAGGAAAUGCUAGCACCAUUGAUGAAAAUCAGGUUGCUGAUGAAACUGCAAGUACCAGGACUGCUGAAGAAAUUCCAGUUGCUGAAGAAACUGCCAGGGCAACCACUAGUGUUGUGCCUGAAGAAUCUGCUAGGCCAGCUGAAGACUCUGCUGCUGCGCCUGAAGAAAUUGCUCAAGAUAGGCCAACUGCAUCAGUUGUGCCUGAAGAAAUUGAUCCAAUUUCCUCUACUCCACCUGCACCAACAACAUGCCCAAUUAUUCCUUCUGCUCUUCAAGUGUGCAUUGCUUGAAAAGCAAAUUCCUCACUAUGCACAUCUUUAGGGGGACUUCUUCUAUAUCUUGCAAUCAAAUUCCUCAACAUUGAGCACUUUUCAAUUCAUAUGUUUAUCCCCGUUGAAAACUUAACCUAUAUUGUCAUCAAUCACCAAAAAGGGGGAGAUUGUAAGUGCAUCUAGUGCCCCUUAGUGAUUUUGGUGUAUUGAAGACUUAUAGGUUAAGAGACUAAUAUGUUUGUGCGUAUACACAUGCUCUAUAAGUUGAUGAGGAGUUUGAUAUUUACUAUGAAAGUUGACCCCUAAAAAUGAAUGUCUUUGGCUGAAGACUUUGGUUCUCCUGAAGACUUUGAAAGUGAAGAAAUUGGUGUGACCUUGAAGACUUGGAUAUUCACGCGAGGAUUAUGAAGCGUGAAGACUUUUGUUUUUGUAGUUUCAUUUUCUCUUUCUUGUGGCAUAGGAAACAUCAUACUAUUAAAGGGGAUCGAGGUAAUACUAAGGAAACUGAUUUCCAAGUGAUGCUCAUCUCAAAAUCCUACACCUACCCAAUCCUUCGAGUGAAGCCAUUGGAAAUCUCAUAUCAGUCCAGUCAAUUUCUUCAGCGACAGAGACGAAGAUCUUCUGGUCUCUGAGGAAUUUGUUCUGACUGAGGAGUUAGGAAUUCGCCAGUGUGAAUUGCCUACAUAGUGAGGAACAUGAUAGCCCUGAGGGAUUCGAACCUCAAAUAUCCGACCGAUGUUGAGCCGCGCGGUAGCUAUCCCAAAAAUAUCUACCACCUAACAGUCAUAUCAGACAAGGGCAUUUAUGUCUUAUCAUGUUGGGAUGCUCCCUAGGCUAUAAUUAGCCGCCCCCUACAACCACUAGCUAGUUGGCUGCUCCGAGAGAAACUGACACUUGUCAUUUGAGAGCAUCCAAUCCUCCGAGGACUUUGAGCGAAAAUCAUCAAGUGAGGAAAUACCCAAAUCCUCAACCCAAACCUACAAACCCCAAAGUGAUUGAGCAUCAAUGAAGAGAUUGUUCUUGUGUGGAACCGACACUUGUUACCUUUGAGGAUUGUGUAUCCUCCAGACGGUUAGGUGUCAUGGUCUGAGCAUCCAAGAGGAAUUGUGGAUUGCUGGGUGACCAAGUCUGUGAAGGUUUGGAAGUCACCUGUGAAGACUUACCAGUACUGUUGGGCGAGAUUUGCGUGAUCUUAGCUCAAGGAGAAUACGGUGAGGACUGUGUGUCCUCGAGUUUAAAUACUCAGCCACUCCAACCAGACGUACAACUGUCACAGCAGUUGGACCUGGUCGACCAAAUCAUUGUCUUCACCAAGCCUACUAGUUCUAUUUCCUCAACCCUUUCAUUUCCUCAAUUAUGUGUUGAUGAACCUGAUCAUUACUGUUUGAAGACUUUGACUGAAGACUUUUUCUAAUUCCUCAAUCCUAUUUCUUCAGUCAGUUUGUCUUCAUCCUGUUAUCCUGUGCUUACGCUUUCUGUACUCUGUGCUUUGUCUUUCAUUUCAUCAUGAAGAUUGUGUUGUUGCUCUGUUAUGCUUACACCUGAGUACUUAUUCCGCUGCAAGUAGUUCUUCGCUUAGGAAUUUCCUUACCCUGAAAUUCCUCAGUAAAGAAUUCAUAAAAAUCGCCUAUUCACCCCCCUCUAGUCAACGUAACGCACUUUCAGAAGCAUAUCACCUACGCUGACAAAGGCAAAAACAAGGUAUUGGGUCUAGGUAAGGUUGCGAUCUCAAAGGAUUGACACAUGGACAAAGUCAUGCUUGUCGAGUCCUUAGGUUUCAACCUCAUGUCUGUCUCAAUGCUUUGUGAUCUUGAUAUGGUUGUUGUCUUUGUAAAAUUUCGUUACCUUGUGCUAAUGGAAUCUGACAACUCCAAAGUCUUUGAAGGCUUUAGGAAAGGAGACUUGUAUAUUGUUUAUUUCUCAGCAGGACAACAACCUGCCACAUGUCUACUUGCAAAAGCUUUAGAAUCCAAGUUAUUGCAUCGACAACUUGGUCAUGCUGGGAUGAGGAACUUGCAUACACUCGUGAAGAAGAAGCAUGUCACUCGCAUCGAGGGUGUCAAAUUCCUCAAAGAUCAUAUUUGUGGGGCUUGUGAGGCUAGAAAGAUCACCAGAGCCAAGCAUCCCUCGAAGACUAUCAUGACCACUUCUCGUCCCUUUGAAUUACUUCAUAUGGAUCUCUUUGGCCCUACUCAUUAUGCCACGUUCUCUAGUUCUGCAUCAUUAUAUGGCUUUUUCAUAGUUGAUGACUAUUCUCAUUACACAUGGGUGCAUAUCAUCACUUACAAAAAUGAAGUGCAGGAAGUCUUCAAACGAUUUUCCUCAAGGGCUUCCACUAACGUCGGUGUGAAGAUCAAGCAUAUCAGGAGUGAUAAUGGAACCGAGUUCAAGAACACUGGCCUCGAUGAAUAUCUUGACAUGCUUGGUAUUACUCAUGAAUUAUCUGCUCCUUAUACUCCUCAGUAGAACGACAUCGUGGAGCGCAAGAACCGAACUCUUGUUGAGAUGGCUCGCAGUAUGCUUGAUGAAUACAAGACACCUCAGUGCUUCUGGCUUGAAGCAAUUGAUACUACAUGCCACAUCAUCAACAGGGUAUAUCUUCACAAAUUCUUCAAAAAGACCUCAUAUGAACUCCUCACUUACAAGAAACCCAAUGUAAGUUAUUUCAAAGUCUUCGGUGCUAAAUGCUGGAUUAGAGAUCUUCACCAUCACUCUAAAUUUGCACCGAAAGCACAUGAGGGUUUUAUGCUUGGUUACGGAAAGGACUCGCACACCUACAAAGUCUUCAACUUAAAUCAUCACAAGGUUGUUGAAACUGUAGACGUGUGGUUCGAUGAAACUAAUGGCUCGCAAAGAGAGCACCUACCUCCUGUGCUAGAUGAAAUGUCACUUGAGGAAUCCAUCAGGUUCAAAGCUACUGAGGAUGUCAUCCCAACUUAAGAAUUUGCUGAAGAAACCAUUCCAAAUCGUGAAGAAAAUCACGCUGGUGCUGCUGAAGAAACUGGUCCUGAAGAAAAUGCUGGACCUAAGCAAAGUCGUCAACCUGCACAUCCUCGCGUUGCAAAUGAAGUGCAAAUCGAGAAGAUCAUUGAUGAAUCGACGCACCAUGUCCCCUCACGCGCUCAAAAGAUCUAACUUUUGUGGGCAUUUUGCAUUUAUCUCUAUCAUAGAGCCCACUAAAGUUGAUGAAGCAUUCAUGGAAUCCGAGUGGAUUCAAGCUAUGCAAGAUGAAUUGCAUCAAUUCGAGCUCAACAAUGUGUGGGAGCUUGUCAAGCGACUAGACCCAUGAAAGCACAACAUCAUCAGUACCAAAUGGAUCUACCGCAACAAACAAGACGAAAAUGGCCUCGUGUUGAGGAAUAAGGCUCGUCUUGUAGCUCAAGGCUACACACAUGUUGAAGGAAUUGAUUUCGAUGAAACUUUUGCACCUGUUGCUAGACUUGAGGCUAUUCGCAUAUUGCUUGCUUAUGCUAACCAUCAUAAUAUCAUCUUACAUCAAAUGGAUGUGAAACGUGCAUUCCUUAAUGGUAAGCUUGAGGAAGAAGUAUAUGUUGCUCAACCACUAGGUUUUGAGGAUCCAAAAUUUCUAGAUCACGUCUACAGACUCAACAAGAACCUCUAUGGCCUCAAGCAAGCACCUCGGGCAUGGUAUGACACACUGAAGGAAUUCCUCAUGAAGAAAGGCUUCAAACCCGGUUCACUUGACCCAACCAAAGCAUAUGAUUAUGAAUUAUUCGUGUGCCAAAUAUAUGUUGAUGACAUUAUCUUUGGUUGUACUAACCAACGUUACAGUGAUGAAUUUGCCUAUAUGAUGAGUGAAGAAUAUAAAAUGUAUAUGAUGGGAGAAUUGAAAUUCUUUUUAGGUCUCAGAUUCGUUAACAAUACAAUGGCAUAUUCAUAUCUCAGGAGAAAUACCUCAAGGAUGUAUUGAGGAAGUUCGGAAUGCAAGACUGCAAAGGCGUCAAAAUCCUUAUGCCCACAAAUGGCCAUCUAUGUACUGAUGAAAAUGGUAAAGACUUCGAUCAAAAGGUAUACCGCUCCAUGAUUGGCUCUUUAUUGUACCUAUGUGCAUCUAGGCCGGAUAUUAUGCUUAGUGUUUGCAUGUGUGCCUGAUUUCAAGCUACACCGAAGGAAUAACACCAUAAGGCUGUGAAACACAUUCUUCGAUAUCUAUAUCACACACCAACACUUGGAUUAUGGUAUCCCAAGGGCUCUUCCUUUGAUCUCAUUGGAUAUUUAGACUCUGACUAUGCUGGUGAUCGGGUGGACCGCAAGUCAACGUCAGUCACAUGUCUUUUCCUCGGACGAUCCUUGGUAUGUUGGUCCUCGAAGAAGCAGAACUGCGUAUCACUCUCUACUGCUGAAGCCGAAUACAUUGCAGCUGGAUCUUUCCGUGAUCAAUUGCUAUGGAUGAAGCAAACCCUCAAGGACUAUGGAAUCAAUGUGAAGAAUGUGCCGCUCUACUGCGACAAUGAGAGUGCUAUCAAGAUUGCUCACAACCCUGUUCAACACUCGAAGACAAAGCACAUCCAGAUUCGUCAUCAUUUUCUUCGUGACCAUGUGUUGAAGGGCGACAUCUCCAUCGACCACGCAAAUACUGAAGACCAGCUGGCCGAUAUCUUCACAAAGCCCUUGGAUGAGAAGAGAUUUAGCAAGUUGCGGUGUGAGCUAAAUAGCCUAGAAUAUUCGUACGUUCUUUGAAAAGUACACACAUCCUAACACUUAUGCUGACUUGAUGACUUAGAUGUGCAACACACGAAGUAACAUUUUUCUUCAAUCAAUGAAGACUAACCCUCUAAGUGUGAAGAAAUUAACAAAGAAAUUGAUUCUCACAACCCUACGACAGUUGUAUGCGGUGUCUGAAAUCAGCUUUGUUAUAUGGUGGCUUACGCCACCAACCAAAGUUGAAAAUCUUCAAUUUGAGUUUUUUCUUAAUUUUUGAAAUUCCUCAGUUUACAAAUUCUUCAACUUUGCAUUAUAUUCACUCAUUCCGUCGUUGUUCUUCACUGACUAUAUAUACUUGAGUUUUUAUGUCCUCUACAACAUUCACUUAUUGAUAUUUCUUCAAGUUGAUCUUUCUGCUAAGUGAAUGUGAUCAGACCCUUUCCCCCUCUAUGCUAAACUGAACCCAGUCUGUUCACAAAUUCUUCGUGUGCGUUCUAUUUGAAACUCGUUCAAAUUCAUCACCGUGUCCUUGUCAGCUGAAGAAAUUGCAAACAAAACAUUAAAAAUUCUUAUCUGAAUUUUCGGCUUUUGCUGCUCAAACCGUUACACAUUCCACGAUAAAUCUUAUCUAUUCACCCACGAUCUUACAUGAUCGCCACCUCACAGUACGUGGUGACACAUGUCGCGCGAAUGAGAAGGGUCAGGGGCACGUUCGUCCAAUUUCUUCGGACGAACGGUUUUUCACCUCAGCUAUAAAUACCCCCUCCCCUUCCUCACUUCACUUUUACUCCGCUCGAACUCACUCCCUCGCUCGAGCUUCUCGAACCCUAGCGGUGCCGCUACUUCCAUCGUUGCCGGUGAGGAAGAUCUUCACUGCCUCGAUGUUGUCGCCAUCGUACUCGCGCUGGACGCGGAAAUCUUCACUCCGCCACCGCCGUAGACGUCUUCCUCUGCCGAGUUAUGGUGUGGAAGAUCUGAGCCGACGAACUUCCAAAUCUACACCUCAUGUUCGUCGUGUUCUUCAUCAAGGGUAAUUAAAAGUUACUUUUACUGCAUUUACUCUACUGAUGAUUUUCAUCAAAUCUUCAAAAGGUGUUUAUUCUUCAACCUCCACACUCUAAACACCUAGCACAAAUCUUCAGUUCUUGAUAUGUUUCUCUAAGUGACGUUUUUCUUCAUGAUUCCUCAAUUGUGUGAAUCUAACAAUCCACACAACUCUGGAACCUAAGUCAAAAAACGCUUAGUGAAAUUCUUCAAGACACAACUGGUCAAUUUCCUCAAACUUGUCCAGUUUUACAAAACCAUCUUAGAACGCAUAUGACCUCUCCAAAUUCUUCGCACCAAUACUUUGUUCACAGGUACACAUGUCUGCUGCUGAAUCACUAGGUUCUCAUCAACUUAACUUAUUUGUAGCGUUCCUCGAAGAAAAGCAUCAUACUUCUUCAGAGAACUCUACUAUUCAAAUUCCUUAGCUGAAGAAAAUGGCCGAUGGUAAAAGGCCUCAGGAAGGAGGAAAGAAGCUUGAAGUCAACACUGCCUUUGAAAUCCCUGAUGACAUUUAUGCUGGGUACUGCAUGCCUGAUGAGGCAACUCAUGGCAAAGAAACCAAGAAUGAGCGCAAGGUGCGCAUUCAAAGGAUUGAACGCCGAUGGGCACGGGAGUGGAGAGAUUACAGAUAUGUAACUCCAAAGUAUAUGAAGAAAUUCGCUCUCAACCCUCCUUGCUCAAGACCUCCAUUGGCACCUGGCCAAAGAGCUGAUCCAACAAGCCUUAAACGUGAUGAGGAUUAUGCAAAUGAAUGGGCCAGGAAGCAGUCCAAGUUGGCAAAGCAGGCCAAAGAAGAAGUGAAGAAAUUCAACGAAGAUUCUGCUACUGCUGCCACUGUUGAGGCUUCUACAAGCAAAAAUGCUAUGCCGAAGAAGCCAGCCAAGAAACCAGCUUCCUUAGCAAUGCCCUCACAGCCAAGUUCCUCUGUGCCACCUAGGCAAAAUCCUCAAGGUUCCCCAGUUCCUCAAACUGCACCAGUUGCUCGGGUUUCAAAACCCUCAGCUCCUCCGACAAAGUCCUCAACACCUAUGCAUCUCGCCAUGUGCCAAUGGACCACAUGCUUCUCUAUUGCCUCAGGAGCUUCUGCAAGUUCUUCAUUUCCUCAUCCAUCUUCAAAGAGCCCAACUUUGCUGAAGACCAAGGCCACCGUAGGACGAGGCACUAGACCAAGUCCUCACAAGAAACAAGUUGCUUUUCAAGUGCGUUCUGAUGAUGAUGAGGCUGCUGAUGAUGAAUUAGCUGAUAUCAUCGAAGAUAGAUAGCAAAUGGCAGCUAGAGCCAAAGGGAGUGAUGUGCCUCUUCUAUUGGAUCCGAAGAAGGUCCUAGACUUCAUUGACCUCUGGCACAAGGAUCCAAACACUCCUCUGCCAGAGCUGGGCCUCACUCCUGGACAAAUUCACAUGUUGACGACAUUCAUCACUGAAGAAAAAUGGAAAUAUGAUCAAGCCAGAGUGGCUAAGAAAGCACAGUACAAGAAGCAGCGCUAUCUAAAGGACAAUGUCCUCAGCCUAUCUCCUGAACAACUCCUCGCUCUGCAAGCGGAUAUCAAAAAGCUCAAUGAUGAAUUUGAUUCUUACAAGGCAAAAUGGCUGGGAGCCAAGGUCAGAUUCGUCAAAUUGACGAAGAAAUUCACUUCAAGUGUCGCUGGUCCUGUGCACAUUGAGGUCACUCCACCUGAAGCAUCUGCUCAAGCCACUCAAGGAAAUGCCAGCACCGCUGAUGAAAAUCAGGCUGCUGAUGAAACUGCAAGUACCAGGACUGCUGAAGAAAUUUGAGUCGCUGAAGAAACUGCCAAGGCAACCACUACUGUUGUGCCUGAAGAACAUGUCAGGACAACUGAAGAAGCUGAAGCUGUGCCUGAAGAUAUUGCUCAAGAUAGGCCAACUGCAUCAGUUGUGCCUGUAGAAAUUGAUCCAAUUUCCUCUGCUCUGCCUGCACCAACACCAUGCCCAAUUCUUCCUUCUGCUCUGGAAGUGAAGAAAACAAAGGCUGCGGAGCGAGCCGCUCUGAAGAAAAGGAAAGUGUCUGUUUCCUUAGAAUCUUCUACAUCGAAGAAGGCAAAGAUUUUGACAAGUUCAAUUGAGAACCCCAUUGAUGUUGUUCCUCUCUCAAGCAUGCCAUCAAAAAAACUUGUUCCUUUUGGUGAAGAAUAUCAGAUUCCUGAAGAAUCUGUUGGAGAAAAUCCCUCUGCUGCUUCCUUAGAGCAGAUGGAUGAAGAAAUUGAAGUUGAUGUUAUCACUUCAACUCCCCAGGUAUCAUCGCCAACGCCUCAGUUCACAGCUGAAGAAGCCGGCGUGGAAGAAAUGGAAGUGUAUGAGGAUGUGGACAUUGGGAGCACCACACCUGUCAUGAAUGAUGACUUUUGGGAAAGUUAGCACCCCAACUCUCCCAUGUUCACACCUCUGCAGCAAAUUCGACAGUCCCCAGUACCUACUGAAAUUCAUAUGGGCUCUAAUGAUAUUCAUCAUACUCCUUCCAUUCAUGAAGAGAUUCCAGUCACUAGUGCUGAUGAAAAAGUUGAUGAAGAAAUGGAGGCCUAGGCUACUAAAGCAGAAGCAGAUAUUCCUCAGCCUGAGGCUCCGGAGAUUGAGAUUCCCGAGGUUAUUCUUCAACUGACUGAUACUCAGCCCAAGCCAACAAAUCCAUUCUCCAAGACUCCAAAGUUCAAGGAUGGUGCUUUCUUCAACGAUCAUGUAUUCUUCAUUGACUACAACCGCUAUGACUCUGCUCGUCUGCGAAGGAUGAGAUUCUGGACUGCCAGCCAAGCCAACCUUUAUUAUUCUAUGCUUUUCAAUAAGGACAAAGUCUUCGACCAUGCUCAUAUUCCUCAUGUAGAUAUGGAAUCACUGCCUUGCUUCACCCCAGUCCUCGCUGCUAUUCAUGAUGCUGGAUUGCUAAAUUUCUGCACUGACAUUUGCAAUUGGAAUGAAGAACUCAUUCUUCAAUUCUAUGCGAUGCUGCACAUCAUAGGCGAUGCUGAAGAUGUGAAUUCAUGGGUGUCGGACUGGAUGACAGAAAACACUCACUAUAAGGCACCAGCAACUGAAUUGCUUUGUGCCAUGCCUGUUAGUCCUCCCCUAGAAGGUGCACGUCUCAUCUACUCUGAAAUUGAGCUGUCUGAUCAUUUGAUGCAAGUUCUGAUGAAGCCAUUGAAGCCUGGUCAAGCCUCAAGGACAAAGUUCCUUGUGAAGGAAUUGCAAUAUGUGCCAAGGACUGUCUACCGCAUUCUGACCAAGACUUUGAGUCCAAUCAAAGGCCACGACUCGAAUGACGAAGAAGUCGUUGGCAUCAUGCAGAAUCUGCUUUGCAAUAUCAUACAUGGGAUUCCAGUGAACUACCAUGAUUUCUUCAUGAGGACUCUGGCAAAUGUUGCAAUGUCUCCGUUUGAGUUGAAUAUGCGCCCUGGAUUAUGAGAUUCCUCAGAUCAAGGUCUUGACUCAACUACAAAGCUGAUACACUCAACCAUGGCAGCUACUUGCCCCCAAUUGAAGUCCUCAAGCGAACAUUUUCCUCAGCUGAUAAAAAGGGCAAGGCCACUGCUAUUAUUGGUGAGGGCAUUCGUCCAUUGGAUGGACAGUUUCGCAAAGCUGCUUCAUAUUCCACCAAUGAUGACUCUACUACUCAUGACUCUGCCGUCAAUGCCUCAAAGCAAAGUCCUCAGGCUACAGCUCCAAGGGUGAUGACUGAUUGUGAACUUCUCCUCAGUCUUCAUCAGAAGGUUAAUCGCAACCAUAAAUGGGUCAAACGUCAGUUUAGUUCUAUUAUUCACAACAUGACGGCCACAUAUAAUUCAGUGAAGAAUAACCACGACUACCUCAAUGAAGUUUUUGAUUGCACCCGGGCUGUCCUGACUCAUCUCUACGACAAUGAGGAUCUCAAGCAGAUGGGUUUCAAGCAGGAUUUCGGCUGGUCCAAACCUACAACUCAUAUUCUUCAUCCCGUGAUACUGAUAAAAAUGAAGAUUUGGACGAUACUGCGGCAUGCCCUACUCCAACAACCGACCCCAACAACGCUGGGGCUGCUCCAUCGACUUUGUGAUGAAAUUCUUCAGGGGCGUUAGUCCUCACUUUUUGACCCUUUUGGUCAUUUGAUGACAAAGCGGGAGAAAUUUGAGUUAGUCUUCAAGCGGGUCUAUCUAUAUGGGCAUUUUUUUGUUAAGUUGCAACUCUCGCUCUUCUGAAGCUUUUGUUGAUUGAGUUGUAAACUUAAGUCCGGUGGUGACCUGAUACUUUUGCAUUGUUUUUCUGCAUGCUAUUUCCUCAUAUAUGCUAUGCACACAUGCUAAAUUACAUCAAUCACCACAUUUCAUCAUGCAUUUCAAAUUCUUCAAUCUAUAUGUUAAAUGCGUGUAUGAAUUACAAGAUAUAGGGGAGAUCUCCAUGAUUCUACUCUUCAAGUGAGCAUUGUUUCAAAAGCAAAUUCCUCACCAUGCACAUCUUCAGGGGGACUUCUUCUAUAUCUUGCAAUCAAAUUCCUCACUAUUGAGUACUUUCAGUUCAUAUGUUUAUCCUUGUUGAAAACUUAACCUAUAUUGUCAUCAAUCACCAAAAAGGGGGAGCUUGUAAGUACAUCUAGUGCCCCUUAGUGAUUUUGGUGUAUUGAAGACUUAUAGGUUAAGGGACUAAUAUGUUUGUGAGUGUACACAGGUUCUAUAAGUCGAUGAGGAGUUUGAUAUUUAUAGUGAAAGUCGACCCCUAAAAAUGAAUGUCUUCGGCUGAAGACUUUGGUUCUCCUGGAGACUUUGAAAGUGAAGAAAUUGGUGUGACCUUGAAGACUUGGAUAUUCAUGCGAGGAUUAUGAAGCGUGAAGACUUUUGUUUUCAUAGUUUCAUUUUAUCUUUCUUCAGUUCCAGGAAACAUCAUACUAUUAAAGGGGGUCAAGGUAAUACUAAGGAAACUGAUUUCCAUGUGAUGCUCAUCUCAAAAUCCUACACCUACCCAAUCCUUCGAGUGAAGCCAUUGGAAAUCUCAUAUCAGUUCAGUCAAUUUCUUCAGUCACAGAGAUGAAGAUCUUCUGGUCUCUGAGGAAUUUGUUCUGACUGAGGAGUUAGGAAUUCGCCAGCGCGGAUUGCCUACACAGUGAGGAACAUGAUAGCCCUUAGGAAUUCGAACCUCAAAUAUUCGACCGUUGCAGUACUACGCGCCAGCUGUCUCAAAAAUAUCCACCACCUAACGGUCAUAUCAGCCAAGGGCAUUUAUGUCUUAUCAUGUCGGGCUGCUCCCUAUGAUAUAAAUAGCCGCCCCCUACAACCACUAGCUGGUUGGCUGCUUCGAGAGAAACUGACACUUGUCAUUUGAGAGCAUCCCAUCCUCCGAGGACUUUGAGCAAAAAUCAUCAAGUGAGGAAAUACCUGUUGGAAAUAUGCCCUAGAGGCAAUAAUAAAAUGGUUAUUAUUGUUUUUCCUUGUUAAUGAUAAUUGUCUAUUAUUCAUGCUAUAAUUGUAUUAAAUGGAAACUAUAAUACAUGUGUGAAUACAUAGACCACAACAUGUCGCUAGUGAGCCUCUAGUUGACUAGCUCGUUGAUCAAUAGAUGGUUAUGGUUUCCUGACCAUGGACAUAGGAUGUCAUUGAUAACGGGAUCACAUCAUUAGGAGAAUGAUGUGAUGGACAAGACCCAAUCCUAAGCAUAGCACAAGAUCAUGUAGUUUGUUUGCUAAGAGCUUUUCAAUGUCAAGUAUCAUUUCCUUAGACCAUGAGAUUGUCCAACUCCCGGAUACCGUAGUGUGAUGGUGUGUCCAAACGUCAUAGCUGCACCAUAGUGUGAUGGUAUGUCCGAACGUCAUAGCUACACCCUAUUGGAUAUGGUGCAUGCCAUAAUGUCUCUUAUCAAAUUACCACUAUCGUUUAUGGGUUAGGCAUUAGAGACCACCACAUUCACUUUAAAUAGGGCACCACGCAAUUCCGUCGAGAUGACACCAUAUGAACUAUGGUUUAGAGAAACCUAAGUUGUCGUUUCUUAAAAAAAAUUAGCUGCGACGCCUAUGUGAAAAAGUUUCAGGCUGAUAAGCUCGAACCCAAAGCAGAUAAAUGCAUCUUCAUAGGACACCCAAAAACAGUUCGGUAUACCUCCUGUCUCAGUUCUGGAAGCAAAAGGGAUUGUUUCUAGAAUCGGGUCCUUUCUCGAGGAAAAGUUUCUCUCGAAAGAAUUGAGUGGGAGGAUGGUGGAGACUUGACGAGGUUAUUGAACCGUCACUUCAACUAGUGUGUAGCAGGGCACAGGAAGUUGUUCCUGUGGGGCCUACACCAAUUGAAUAUUGAUCAUGAAACUUCAGAUCAAGUCACUACCAAAACUAGUAGGUUGACAAGGAUACAUACUACUUCAGAGUGGUAUGUAAUCCUGUCUUGGAGGUCGUGUUGCUAGACAACAAUGAACUUACGAGCUAUGGAGAAGUGAUGGUGGGCCCGGAUUCUGACAAAUGGCUCGAGGCCAUAAAAUCCUAGAGAGGAUCCAUGUAUAAAACAAAGUGUAGACUUUGGAAGAACUACUUGAUGGCCGUAAGGCUGUUGGGUGCAGAUGGAUUUUAAAAAGAAGACGGACAAUGAUGGUAAGUAUCACCAUUAAGAAAGCUCGACUUGUCGUUAAGAUAUUUUCCGACAAGUUCAAGGAGUUGACUACAAUGAGACUUUCUCACUCGUAGCGAUGCUAAGAGUCUGUUGGAAUUAUAUUAGCAAUUACUGCAUUAUUUAUGAAGUCUUGCAGAUAGGAUGUCAAAACAUUGUUUCCUCGAUGAUUUUCUUGAGGAAAGUUUGUAUGUGAUACAACCAGAAGGUUUUGACAAUCCUGAAAUAUGCUAACAAGUAUGCAAAGCUCCAGCAAUCCUUCUAAGGACUGGAGUAAGCAUCUCGGAGUUGGAAUAUACACUUUGAUGAGAUGAUCAAUGAUUUUGGGUUUAUACAAAGUUUAUGAGAAACUUGUAUUUCCAAAGAAGUGAGUGGGAGCACUAUACAAUUUCUGAUGAGUAUAUGUUGUUGACAUAUUGUUGAUCAGAAAUGAUGUAGAGUUUCUGGAAAGCAUAUAGGGUUAUUUGAAAAGUGUUUUUAAAUGGAAAACCUGGAUUAAGCUACUUGAACAUUGAGCAUCAAUAUUUAUAAGGAUAGAUCAAAAUCGCUUAAUAAUACUUUCAAACGAACACAUACCGUGACAAGAUUUUGAAGGAGUUCAAAAUAGAUCGGCAAAGAAGGAGUUCUUGGCUGUGUUAUAAGGUGUGAGUAUUGAGUAAGACUCAAGACCUGACCACGGCAGAAGAGAGAGAAAGGACGAAGGUCGUCCCCUAUGCUUUAGACGUAGGCUCUAUAGUAUGCUAUGCUGUGUACUGCACCUGAAGUGUGCCUUGCCAUGAGUUAGUCAAGGGGUACAAGUGUGAUCCAGGAAUGGAUCACAGGACAACGGUCAAGGUUAUCCUUAGUAACUAGUGGACUAAGGAAUUUUCUCAAUUAUGGAGGUGGUAAAAGAGUUCGUCGUAAAGGGUUACGCCGAUGCAAACUUUGACAAUAAUCUGGAUGAUUCUGAACAGUAAACCGGAUUCGUAUAGUAGAACAGUUAUUUGGAAUAGCUCCAAAUAGAGCGUGGUAGCUGCAUCUACAAGAUGACAUAGAGAUUCAUAAAGCACACACAGAUCUGAAAGGUUCAGACCCGGUGACUAAUAACCUCUCUCACAAGCGAGAUAUGAUCAAACCCCAUGGGUGUUGAAUUCAUUACAAUCACAUAGUGAUGUGAACUAGAUUAUUGACUCUAGUGCAAGUGGGAGACUGUUGGAAAUAUGCCCUAGAGGCAAUAAUAAAAUGGUUAUUAUUGUAUUUCCUUGUUCAUGAUAAUUUUCUAUUGUUCAUGUUAUAAUUGUAUUAACUGGAAACCGUAAUACAUGUGUGAAUACAUAGACCACACCAUGUCCCUAGUGAGCCUCUAGUUGACUAGCUUGUUGAUCAAUAGAUGGUUAUGGUUUCCUGACCAUGGACGUUGGAUGUCAUUGAUAACGGGAUCACAUCAUUAGGAGAAUGAUGUGAUGGACAAGACCCAAUCCUAAGCAUAGCGCAAGAUCGUGUAGUUCGUUUGCUAAGAGCUUUUCUAAUGUCAAGUACAUUUCCUUAGACCAUGAGAUUGUGCAACUCCCGGAUACCGUAGGAAUUUUUUGGGUGUACCAAACGUCACAACGUAACUGGGUGGCUAUAAAGGUGCACUACAGGUAUCUCCGAAAUUGUCUAUUGGGUUGGCACGAAUCGAGACUGGGGUUUGUCACUCCAUAUGACGGAGAGGUAUCUAUGGGCCCACUCGGUAUUGCAUCAUCAUAAUGAGCUCAAUGUGACUAAGUAGUUAGUCACGGGAUCAUGCAUUACGGAACGAGUAAAGUGACUUGCCGGUAACAAGAUUGAACGAGGUAUUGGGAUACCGACGAUCGAAUCUCGGGCAAGUAACGUACCGAUUGUCAAAGGGAAUUGCAUAUGGGAUUGCUUCAAUCCCCGACAUCGUGGUUCAUUCGAUGAGAUCAUUGUGGAACAUGUGGGAGCCAACAUGGGUAUCCAGAUCCUGUUGUUGGUUAUUGGCCGGAGAGGUGUCUCGGUCAUGUCUGCAUGGUUCCCGAACCCGUAGGGUCUACACACUUAAGGUUCGGUGACACUAGAGUUGUUAUGGGAUUUAGUAUGUGGUUAAAGAAUGUUGUUUGGAGUCCCGGAUGAGAUCCCGGACGUCACGAGGAGUUCCGGAAUGGUCCGGAGGUGAAGAUUUAUAUAUGGGAAGUCCAGUUUCCGUCAUCAGAAUCGUUUUGGGGGUUAUCGGUAUUGUACCGGGACCACCGAAAGGUGUCCGGAGGUCCAUCGGGUGGGGCCACCUGCCCCGGGGGACGAUGACCUGAAUAUGGGAGGGAACCAGCCCCUCGUGGGCUGGUGCGCCCCUCCCCAAGGGCCCAAGGCGCCUAGGGUUGGAAACCCUAGGGAGGGGGCGCCUCCACCUUGCUUGGGCGGCAAGUUUCCCCCUCCUGGCUGCCACCCCCCCUCUAGAUUGGAUCUAGAGGGGCCGGCCCCCUCUCCCCUUCACCCUAUAAAUAGAUGGGGGGUGGGAGGGCUGCAGCACCCUUGCUUUUGGCGCAGCUCCUCCCUCCCCCAACUCUUCCUCCUCCCCCGUAGUGCUUGGCGAAGCCCUGCAGGAAUACCACGAGCUCCGCCACCGCCAUGCCGUCGUGCUGUCGGAGUUCUCCCUCAACUUCUCCUCUCCCCUUGCUGGAUCAAUAAGGAGGAGACGUCCCCGGGCUGUACAUGUGUUGAACGCGGAGGCGUCGUCCGUUCGGCGCUAGAUUGGAUCUUCCGCGAUUUGAAUCGCCGCGAGUACGACUCCAUCAUCCGUGUUCUUGUAACGAUUCCGCUUAGCGAUCUUCAAAGGUAUGAAGAUGCUCAUCCUCUCCCUCUCUUGUUGAUAGAAUCUCCAUAUAUUGAUUUUGGGGAUGCAUAGAAAAUUUUGAAUUUCUGCUACGUUCCCCAACAAUACCCAAAUCCCAAACCCAAACCUACAAACCCCAAAGUGAUUGAGCAUCACUGAAGAGAUAGUUCCUGUGUGGAACCGAUGCUUGUUACCUUUGAGGACUGUGUAUCCUCCAGACGGUUAGGCGUCAUGGUCUGAGCAUCCAAGAGGAAUUGUGGAUUGCCGAGUGACCAAGUCUGUGAAGGUUUGGAAGUCACCUGUGAAGACUUACCACUACUGUUGGGCGAGAUUUGCUUGAUCUUAGCUCAAGGAGAAUACGAUGAGGACUGUGUGUCCUUGAGUUUAAAUACUCAGCCGCUCCAACCAGACGUACAACUGUCACAUCAGUUAGAACUGGUCGACCAAAUCAUUCUCUUUUCCAAGCCUACUGGUUCUAUUUCCUCAACCCUUUCAUUUCCUCAAUUAUGUGUUGAUGAACCUAAUCAUUACUAUUUCAAGACUUUGACUGAAGACUUUCUCUACUUCCUCACUCCUAUUUCUUCAGUCAGUUUGUCUUCAUCAUGUUAUCCUGUGUUUACGCUUUCUGUACUCUAUGUUUUGUCUUUCAUUUCAUCAUGAAGACUGUGUUGUUGCUCUGUUAUGCUUAUACAUGAGUAUUUAUUCCGCUGCAAGUAGUUCUUUGCUUAGGAAUUUCCUCACCCUGAAAUUCCUCAGUGAAGAAUUCAUAAAAAUUGCCUAUUCACCACCCCCCUCUAGUCAACGUAACGCACUUUCAAUCGGCCUCCUUCCGGCGUUGAUCAACGAGAAUGUGAAAUGGAGGCGCAUUCACACGUCUUCGAUUAUCAUCACAUGCAUGCCGGAGUUACCAAUGCGUGCCAUUCAACCGAUAAUGAUUACCACAGCUCGAUGAUGCCCCUUUCAUUGCUGCGAUGAUUCCCACACCCGUUUCCGUUCAUUUAUAUGGAGCAAUGCCAUUGCAACACCCCUCACCAACAUUUCCUCACUCCCUCUCCCCCUCACCAGUGUUGUCUUGGUGCCUACUAUAAGUGCAUCUAGUGCCCCUUAGAGAUUUUGGCCUAUUGAAGACUUAUAGGUUAAGGGACUAAUAUGUUUGUGAGUGUACACAGGCUCUAUAAGUCGAUGAGGAGUUUGAUAUUUACGAUGAAAGUCAAGCCCUAAAAAUGUAUGUCUUCAGCUGAAGACUUUGGUUCUCCUAAAGAUUUUGAAAGUGAAGAAAUUGGUGUGACCUUGAAGACUUGGAUAUUCAUGCGAGGAUUAUGAAGCGUGAAGACUUUUGUUUUUGUAGUUUCAUUUUCUCUUUCUUGAGUCAUAGGAAACACCAUACUGUUAAAGGGGUGAGGUUAUACUAAGGAAACUGAUUUCCAUGUGAUGCUCAUCUCAAAAUCCUACACCUACCCAAUCCUUUCGAGUGAAGCCAUUGGAAAUCUCAUAUUAGUUCAGUCAAUUUCUUAAGUGACUGUCGGUGUCAAAACCGGCGGAUCUUGGGUAGGGGGUCCCGAACUGUGCGUCUAGGCGGAUGGUAACAGGAGACAAGGGACACGAUGUUUUUACCCAGGUUCGGGCCCUCUCGAUGGAGGUAAAACCCUACUCCUGCUUGAUUAAUAUUGAUGAUAUGGGUAGUACAAGAGUAGAUCUACCACGAGAUCGGAGUGGCUAAACCCUAGAAGCUAGCCUAUGGUAUGAUUGUUGUUCGUCCUACGGACUAAAACUCUCUGGUUUAUAUAGACAUCGGAGAGGGCUAGGGUUACACAGAGUCGGUUACAAUGGGAGGAGAUCUUCAUAUCGUAUCGCCAAGCUUGCCUUCCACGCCAAGGAAAGUCCCAUCCGGACACGGGACGGAGUCUUCAAUCUUGUAUCUUCAUAGUCCGGGAGUCUGGCGAAAGGUGUUAGUCCGGCCAUCCGGACACCCCCUAAUCCAGGACUCCCUCAGUAGCCCCUGAACAAGGCUUCAAUGAUGACGAGUCCGGCGCGCAAGUUGUCUUCGGCAUUGCAAGGCGGGUUCCUCCUCCGAAUAUUUCAUAGAAGAUGUUGAACACCAGCGUAGUGUCCGGAUCUGCAAAAUAAGUUCCACAUUCCACCGUAGAGAGAAUAAUAUUUGCGUUAAUCGGAUCUGCUGACGUAUUCCGCGGCGUGACAUCAUGCCAUGGCCAGGCUUUUUUUCAUUUUAUUGUUCCACCUCAGCGCGUUCAGCGAGGCAGAGGAAGAAGAAGAUGCCUCUCCCCCUCCAACGGGGGGAGGAAAGAAAAGAAAGGUCGCCCCAACUGGGGAAGCCAGAGGGUCCAUGAAGGGGAAGACCCUUCUGCCGGACUACGCCUCCGAUGCCGAAGACGGUGGGGAGGAAUGGCCAUUCAGGGUCAAGCCCCUGGCAAAAUCGUAAGUGUCCGGAUACCCGAAUGACUUAUUGCACUCCUUUAUUAUUCAGUAGCUUCUCACGCCGAAUUUAAUUAUGCAGUCCGCCCAGAGCUCAGCUCGGCGAUUCGUUGAGCGGCUCCCUGAAUUCGUCGGAUGUGAAUAGCGCUUCACUUCCGACGGCUUCCUCCCCGCACCCUACGGACGAUGCCGAGGUGGGGUCCCGAAAGGGACUAAACCAGGAGGAGGUGGUCCUGGAGGCGCCGCAAGGCGAUCUCCCGGACUCCAGGCCCAAAGGGGGUAAAGCCCCGGAGGGAUCUAAGUCCGGCCCCGGGCCGGACACUGCUCCGGAACCAUCAACGGUUCCAGAGUCCGACAGGCAGCGCCUUCAUAAGAAGGGCAGGCCUACGACGCCGGCGACCCCCGCCCAUCCGGAGGCGCCGGACAAUUUUCUAGAGGUGCUUAACGUUGCUUCCAUCAACGAGGAAUACCGCACUGUUAUGAGUGCGGUGAUCCAGAAGGUUCAGUCCGCCAAGAGCGGGCUGACAGAAGCCUGUACAAGCCUGUUAACAGGCUUUGAGGUAUGUGUUAAAAAACAUAUAAAAAGUAUUACCGCAUAGACAGUAGCCCCUGAUGCUGAGUUCGGUGUUCGGAAAGAAAAGCCGAGCUGAGGAUCUAAAAAUAUAUACACAGGAGUUUAAUAGAAAUAUGUCAAUAUGGGAAUGCAGGCUGUGCUGCUGACCUCUGCCGCACUGACUGCGGAGGUCAAUGCAUUGAAGGAAAGCCUCGAGCGGUCCGAGAGCAAGGUCGGCCAUGCCAAGAAGCAGCUCGAGGAUAAAGAGGGUACAUAGUACCUCCUGUAAAUGUAUAUAGAAAUACUUGGUUGCAAAAUAAGAACAGGACCAACGUUAAUGUUGCAGGAGCCACGACCGAGGUGGCGACCCUGAAAGAGGCGGUCUCCAAGGCCGAAAAGAGUGCGGCCUUGGAGCGCACCGAGCGAGAGAAGCAGGAGGCGCGGGUGGCGGAGGUGCGGCAAGAGCUCCAGGCUCUCAUGGAAAAACACGAGAGUUUGGAGCGUGACUCGAAGACUCGAGAGUCCGAGCUUGCCUUGGCUCUUGAGAGUGCCAAGACUGCUAAGGCCGAAGCCCAGAAGGCCUUCAGGAGAUCGAGGCGAUGAAGAAGAUAGCGGUGGGUAAGGCAUUCUUUAUGCAAAGCAAAAAUAUAAAAGUUAAUUAUCUGCUACUUACCCGAAUCCGGAGCUCUCCAGGAGCGUUCGCCGAUCUGCCCCGUAGUGUGUCUGAUGCCGCCGCAUACUACCGAGCUGAAGAGGGGAGCUCGACGGAAAAAGUGUUCUGGUCUCAGUAUGCUGAGGCCGAACAUCCGGUGCCCCUGAGCGACCAACUGAAGCAGCUGGUCGAGCUCCACAAGGUGGCCGAACAGGCCAUGAAGGGCCUCGUAGCUCAGCUGUGUCCUGGAGAAGUCAUGCCUGGGAGCUACUUCAGUCUGGUGUAGCGGCUGGUGGACGCUUGUCCAUGGAUUGAGGUCAUCAAGCGCUCCGUUUGUAUUGAAGGUGCCCAUCGGGCCCUUGCCCGUGCUAAGGUGCACUGGGGCAAGCUAGAUGCGGAGAAGCUGUUGACGGACGCACCACCGCCGGGCAAGGAGUAUCGUACGCCCGAGAUGUAUUAUAAUGGCGUUCUGAAGGGUGCCCGCCGUAUAGCGGAUGAGUGCUCCAAAGAUGUAAUUUUUUAGUAGACUCUCAUUUGUUAUCCUUUACGCUGAAGCUUUGUUCAUAUGCGUUAAGCAACGCUUGUUAAUUUAAAAUAUUACCUUUUGUGCGGCAGUUUAUCAAAUUAGAGAGAUGCAAGUCGUCGGCUUCGACCCCCAUGCCACGAGUGCUGGGGUGUUCGGGAUAAACCUGAGCGCUCUUGUUCCCAUUCUUGGGUCCAUCUAGGGAGGCGUUCAGCACAACGAACCAGGCCGUUGGACUUAUAAUGCUUUAUUACUCUCACUUAGGCAUAGAAUUCUAUAAUUUUAAAUUUCGGCGAAGCCCCUAGUAUUCGGAAGACAGAGUUCGGGGCGCUAUCCACACCUAGGCCGGAUGAGUCCGGUUCCUCGCUCGAAGCGGCAUAAGUCUUUAAGGACUCGAAGAAACCUCGCGAACAGCGACCAGUCUCUCACACUAUCAUGACAGUCAGUUUUAGCUUUCUCUACUGAGGUGUUAACCCAGCUCAACUGGGGCACAAUCGCAGUAGUUCUCCCAGCGCUACCUUAGCCAACAAUGCGGAACGUAAGGUACCAAAACAUGGGAGCCGGGCAAACCCAACUAUUGACCAAAGACAUGAUUCGAAGCCGAUGCAUAUAGUGCUAUAAGUUCGGGGUGCCGCACUCAUGAGAGUGUUCGGUCUUCUCACACCAUGUUAUGGGGUGUUGUAAGCCCCUGGUGUAUUGUCCGCACCAAAGUGUACGGUUGCAGAAUGUCAUGACUGAACAUAUUUGUAUAUAAAAAUAGAUAAGUACAAUAAUAGGUAAGAGCUAUAUAUUGUUUAAUAAAAAAGGGGCUGCUACGAAAGCAGAACGAUACAAGAAGUGCGGUAAGCAAGAGAUGGGAGUAUUUGACAUAUUUCCCUCCAGGGGCAAGCUGCGGGAUUGUAAAUAAAACAGGUAUUAAACUCGUUAUAGAGACCACCUGGACUUUUGACGUGGCUUGCUCCCUCCCUGGUUGUUGCAUCGUGGGUUCGGCGAGUGUAUUGCCGGACAGGCCUUCCGAAUAGUUGGGUCCUGAAAGUGUGUAAAAAGGAAAACGGUGAAAUAGGGAGCCCCUUACUGUGGUUGAGCCGCAUUCUGGGCGUGCCGUUGUUGUGCCCCUCCCCUUAUGCCCAUGGUAUCUCUAAGGCGUAAUUAUGUACGCGUGGUACCAGUAUCGCCGUUUGGCGGGGGUUGGGGUUGGGGCCGCACUGCUAUGCUUGCUCGGAACGUGCCAGCCGGAUUUGUUGUAGGUUACUUCGGGCUAGCUUGACGUUGUCUGGACGUUUGAUGCCUGGAUUGGAGAACUGCCUUGAGAGGCUACUCUGUACUUCCGCCGCCAGGGCCACCGUGUGCUCCUCCAUUUGGAGAGAGCGUUCGGUGUUUCCGUUUACCAUGAUGACUCCGCGAGGUCCUGUCAUCUUGAGCUUGAGAUAUGCGUAGUGCGGCACCACAUUAAAUUUUGCAAAUGCGGUUCGUCCAAGCAGGGCGUGAUAGCCGCUGCGAAAUGGGACUAUGUCGAAGAUUAACUCCUCGCCCCGGAAGUUAUCCGGGGAUCCGAAGACGACCUCGAGUGUAACCGAGCCUGUACAGCUGGCUUCUACCCCUGGUAUGACACCUUUGAAGGUUGUCUUUGUGGGUUUAAUCCUUGAAGGAUCGAUGCCCAUUUUUCGCACUGUGUCCUGGUAAAGCAGGUUCAGGCUACUGCCGCCGUCCAUUAGGACUCUAGUAAGGUGAAAUCCGUCAAUAAUUGGGUCUAGGACCAGCGCGGCGAAUCCGCCAUGACGGAUGCUGGUGGGAUGGUCCCUUCGAUCGAAGGUGAUCGGGCAGGAGGACCAUGGGUUGAACUUUGGGGCGACUGGCUCCAGCGCAUAGACGUCCUUGAGAGCACGCUUCCGCUCCCUUUUGGGGAUGUGGGUUGCAUAUAUCAUGUUCACCGUCCAAACUUGCGGGGGAAAUCCCUUUUGUCCUUUGUUGUUCGGCGGCCGGGGCCCCUCCUCGUCAUCGCUAUGUAGCCCCUUGUCUCUGGUCUCGGCACUUAACUUGCCUGCCUGCUUGAACACCCAACAAUCCUGUUGGUGUGAUUGGCUGGCUGUUCGGGGGUGCCGUGUAUCUGGCACGAGCGAUCGAGUAUCCGGUCUAAGCUGGAUGGGCCCUGAGGGUUUCUUUUGAAUGGCUUCUUCUGCUGACCCGGUUUAGAGCCUCUGAAUCCGGCAUUGACUGUCGUAUCUUCAGUAUUGUCACCAUUAAUGCGGCGCUUAUGCUUGUUGCGACAUGACCUGCCGUUGUUAUCCUUGGUAUCCGAAUUGCCGGGGCUCUUGGUUAUGUUAUUGCUACGAGCUAGCCAGCUGUCUUCUCCCGCACAGAAGCGGGUCAUGAGUGUCGUGAGGGCUGCCAUAGAUUUCGGAUUUUCCUGUCCUAGGUGCCGGGCAAGCCAUUCGUCUCGGAUGUUAUGCCUGAAGGCUGCAAGGGCCUCGGCGUCCGGACAAUCGACUAUUUGGUUUUUCUUGGUUAGGAACCGUGUCCAGAAUUGUCUGGCCGAUUCUUCUGGCUGCUAGAUUAUGUGUCUUAGGUCAUCGGUGUCUGGUGGUCGCACAUACGUGCCCUGGAAGUUGUCAAGGAAUGCGGAUUCCAGGUCCUCCCAACAACUAAUUGACUCUGCUGGCAGGCUGUUAAGCCAAUGUCGAGCUGGUCCUUUAAGCUUGAGCGGGAGGUAUUUGAUGGCGUGUAGAUCAUCACCACGGGCCAUGUGGAUAUGAAGGAGAUAAUCCUCGAUCCAUACCGCAGGAUCUGUUGUGCCAUUGUAUGAUUCGAUGUUUACGGUUUGAAGCCCUCGGGGAUUUGAUGAUCCAUUACUUCGUCUGUGAAGCAUAGUGGGUGUGCGGCGCCCCUGUACUGGGCUAUAUCACGACGCAACUCGGACGAGCUUGGUCUGUUGUAUUCGGCCGGGCCAUACUUAUUAUGUCCGGCAUGACGGAUAGCGUCACGUGAAGCGAGGCACCCAUGCGAUCCGUAGAUCGAUCUUGUUUGCCUUGCCUUAUUCUCCAAGAUGUCUCGCAGGUCUGUUGCGUCUCCCUGUACUCUGGUAUGUUUUGAGCGGUGUCGGGGUGCGUCUUGGGUUGAGGGCCUGAAGGCCUCUCUAUCGUGGCCACGGGGUGGCCGAUUGGGCGCAUCGUACGCUGGUGAUGUAGGUUUAGUUUCUUCCUCCUCAAGUUGGGGUAGCAGCCUGCGCUUCGGGUAGCUCUUGGAUGGGCGUUCUAGUUUAUACUCUUCGGCCGCCAGGACUUCGGUCCAUCUGUCGGCUUGCAAGUCUUGGUCAGCUCUAAGCUACUGCUGUUUCUUCUUGAGGCUGCUUGCCGUGGCUACGAGCCUGCGUUUGAAACGCUCUUGUUCGACGGGAUCCUCUGGCACGACGAAUUCGUCGUCGUUGAGGCUUGCCUCGUUUUCGGAGGGAGGCAUGUAAUUGUCGUCCUCAUCCUCUUUGUUGGCUGCUCUCUCAUGAGGGCUGGUUCCUUCGUCCUCCUACACUGAAUCCUGCUGCAGGUGGUUGUCCUCGGCACUGUCCGGCGUGUUGUUAUCUCCGAUGCCGGAAUCGCCGUUUUUGCUUUGGUGGGACUUAGAGCGGCGCCGCUGACGUUGGCGCUUGGGUUGCUUCUUGGAGGGGUCAUCCUCCGUUUUCUCCUCGCCAUCCCCUGCUUUAGGGGUGUCCACCAUGUAUAUGUCAUAUGACGAGGUGGCUUUCCAGUUCCCUAUAGGUGCUGGUUCUUGAUCGUCUCCUUCAUCAGCGUCCAUGCCGUCGAUGUCUUCGGAGUCAAAGUCGAGCAUGUCGGUUAAUUCGUCGACAGUGGCUACGAAGUGGGUGGUGGGUGGGCUUCGAAUUUCUUCAUCGUCCACAUCCCAACCGUGUUGGCCGUAGUUCGGCCAGGGCUCUCCUGACAAAGAGAGAGACUUUAAUGAAUUCAGGAUAUUGCCGAAAGGCGAGUGCUGAAAGACAUCCACGACGGUGAACUCCAUGACCGGAGCCCAAUCGGGCUUAAUCGGAAGAGGUGCGGGAUUUACGGAGUCCGGAUCGGAGUCCGGCACCUUGGAGUCACGGGCCUUGCGAGGGACUAGGCUGGUAUCCGGCUCUAUCACCAUAGAGGUUGCAGCUUCCGGGGCGGCGUCCAACCGCCCGUCCCCGACUGGCGUAGUGGGCUCCGAGCUAAUGGUCAGAGCGGACACCUUAACGACGCUCUGGGUGUUGUCCGAUGACAGAGCUAAAUCAUGCCCAUCGUGACAGCGCGGCGCGCCCGGUCGUGGCUCGAAUCCGUCGAAGAUCAAGUCCCCGCGGAUGUCGGCCGUGUAGUUUAAGCUUCCAAACCUGACCUGAUGGCCAGGGGCGUAGCUUUCGAUCUGCUCCAGAUGGCCGAACGAGUCGGCCCGUAGUGCGAAGCCGCCGAAUACGAAGAUCUCUCCGGGGAGAAAAGUCUCAUCCCGGACCACAUCACGAUUGACGAGCGAAGAAGCCAUCGGGCCUAAAGGCGACGACACAGAGGAACUCUUAAUGAAAGCACCAAUGUCGGUGUCAAAACCGGCGGAUCUCGGGUAGGGGGUCCCGAACUGUGCGUCUAGGCGGAUGGUAACAGGAGACAAGGGACACGAUGUUUUUACCCAGGUUUGGGCCCUCUCGAUGGAGGUAAAACCCUACUCCUGCUUGAUUAAUAUUGAUGAUAUGGGUAGUACAAGAGUAGAUCUACCACGAGAUUGGAGUGGCUAAACCCUAGAAGCUAGCCUAUGGUAUGAUUGUUGUUCGUCCUACGGACUAAUACUCUCCGGUUUAUAUAGACACCGGAGAGGGCUAGGGUUACACAGAGUCGGUUACAAUGGGAGGAGAUCUUCAUAUCGUAUCGCCAAGCUUGCCUUCCACGCCAAGGAAAGUCCCAUCCGGACACGGGACGGAGUCUUCAAUCUUGUAUCUUCAUAGUCCGGGAGUCCGGCCAAAGGUCUUAGUCCGGCCAUCCGGACACCCCCUAAUCCAGGACUCCCUCAGUGACAAAGACGAAGAUCUUCUGGUCUCUAAGGAAUUUGUUCUAACUGAGGAGUUAGGAAUUUGCCAGUGCGGAUUUCCUACACAGUGAGGAACAUGAUAGCUCUGAGGAAUUCGAACCUCAAAUAUCCGACCGUUGCUGUGCUAUGCGCCGGCUGUCCAAAAAUAUCUUCCACCUAACGGUCAUAUCAUUGAAGGGCAUUUAUGUCUUAUCAUGUCGGGCUGCUCCCUAGGCUAUAAAUAGCUGCCCCCUUCAACUACUAGCCGAUUAGCUGCUCCACGAGAAACUGCCACUUGUCAUUGAGAGCCCAUCCUCCGAGGACUUUGAGCAAAAAUCAUCAAGUGAGGAAAACCCAAAACCCAAACCCAAACACCUAUAAACCCAAAGUGAUCGAGCAUCACUGAAGAGAUUGUUCCUGUGUGGAACCGACGCUUGUUACCUGUGAGGACUGUGUAUCCUCCAGACGGUUAGGCAUCAUGGUCUAAGCAUCCAAGAGGAAUUGUGGAUCACUGAGUGACCAAGUCUGUGAAGGUUUGGAAGUCACCUAUGAAGACUUACCACGAGUGUUGGGCGAGGUCUGUGUGACUUUAGCUCAAGGAGAAUACAGUCAGGACUAUGUGUCCGGGACUAUGUGUCCUCGAGUUUAAAUACUCAGCCGCUCCAACCAAACGUACAAAUGUCACAAUAGUUGGAACUGGUCUACAAAAUCAUUGUCUUCACCAACCCAACUGGUUCUAUUUCCUCAACCCUUUCAUUUCCUCAUUCAUGUGUUGAUGAACCUGAUCAUUACUGUUUGAAGACUUUGACUGAAGACUAUCUAUUUCCUUAAUCCAAUUUCUUGAGUCACAUAGUCUUCAGCCUGCUUACCUUAUUUUCACGCUAUAUGUACUCUGUUCUUGUUUUCAUUUCAUCAUGAUGACUAUGUUGUUGCUCUGUUAUGCUUAUACCUGAGUACUUAUUCUGCUGCUAGUGUGCCGUUGCUUAGGAAUUUCUUCACCUAGAAAUUCCUCUGUGACGAAUUUGUAAAAAUUGCCUAUUCACCCCCUAGUCGAUAUAACACACUUUAAAUUGGUAUCAGAGCAAGGUACUCCCUUGUUCUGUGUGAUUUUGGUUUAACCAUCUAGAGUUCUAUUUAUGUUGACUACAUGAAUGAAGAAAGUGACAUGCCCCAUCUUUGACGGUCAUGAGUAUCCCAAGUGGAAGGUCAUGAUGAAGAAGCGACUCAUGGUGAUGAACAUCGAAUUGUGGACCGUCACUGAGAUUGGUCUUACCGAUCUAUGAAAGAUGGUGGAGGCUAAUGAUAUUCGCAAGUACACUCUACUUAACCUCACGACGAAGGAUAUCAUCUGCUCCUGUUUGUCCCAAAAUUAGUUCAGUAACAGCAUGCAUCUGAACCAUGAGAAGCUUAUCUGGGACCGACACUUUGAGGUCUAUGAAGGUCAUCAAACUCGUCAUGAUCCUUGGUUUGAGGAUUUCAAGGAAUCACUCAAGGAGAUGACUUUUACCCCAGAAUCAUCACCCACUGCACCAUGCCUUAUGGCAAAGUGUGCCAAGGUAACUGAAUGCUACCUUAAUCUAGUGAUGAUGAAUCUUGUGAUGAAUUUGGACCCAGCUACACUAAACUGUCUUCCCUUGCCACUAAACAACAAAGAACGCUUGAAAAAGUUCAAAACAUGCUUGAUGAAAGCGAUGAUAUGUUGGGUGAGGAACUGAAUCGAACAAAGACUUUGACUGAUAAUCUUCAGAGACUUUAGUCUAGGUUUGACAACCUUCAAAAUCAUCAUAACACUCUCUCAUCUGAUCAUGAGAAGCUUUCUUAUUAUUUCUUCAGAGAAAGAAAGAUUUUGAGAAGCUAAAAGUGAGUUAUGAAGAUCUUCAUAAGGAAAAUGGUUCAUGCUUGCUCAACAAUUAAUUCUUCACCUGAAUGUUCAAAUGCUUCUAUUGCUGCAAAUUCUUAAACUAUCUCUGUGGUCACAAAUUCCUCAUCUGAGGAUACCACAAGUAUCACUGACGAUAAUGCAGGGUUGAAGGAAUUGUAUGUGACAAGCAUAUACAAAAGCUUCAAAGGGCAUCAGACUCUUUGUGAUGUGCUCAAAAAGCAGAUCUUGAUCAGGAACCCUAGGAAAGAGGGUAUUGCCUUUGAGAGGAAACUCAAUGCUGAUGGGACCUACUGGAAACCUGAAAAGUACCCCAAAACCUCACGGGUUGCUGCGAAAGGACCUUCUGUAGAUCCAUGCACUUUAUCUGGCUUUACUUGUGAAUCCUCAUAUUCCUCUGAUGAGUCAUUUUACUCCAACUAUAAAUUGUUCAAGAAUCAGAAUGGUGAAGUAUUUGCUCGAUAUGUUGGAACUAACUGCAGGAACGGUCCCCCUAUGAAGAAAAUCUGGGUUCCCGAAAGGUGCCUUGAAAAUCUAUAGGUGAAUGUCAUCAUUACAGCACCUAUGAAGAAUAGGAACCCCAGAUCAAAUUCUUCAUAUGGAUCCAAGCCCUCUUAUGGACCGAAUUCUUCAUCUGGAUCAAAUUCCUCACGUGGAUCCAAAUCCUCAUAUGAACUUCAUUGUGCUAACACUUCUGUUUUGCAGGGAAAGUCUAAAGGCUAUGAAUAUGUGCAUUAUUCUUCAAACCAUUAUGUUCAUAAGUCCUAGAAGAAUUUUUCUGCUUAUUCAUAUGCUUAUCCUAACCCCUCUUUUGUGAAACAAAGUGCACUGGCUUCAAUGCCAUAUUUUUCUUAUGGAGCUCGCAGAAUGAUGAACUCUUUGCCACCCCUCCAGAUGUGGGUGGUUAAGAAAAAGAACUAACCCCUCAUGCAGGAUCAGGUCUCUAGACAAACUUAAUCGUCUGAAGAAUUUGCUGGAGACAUGAAUGUGCUUGAAUGGACGCAAGCUAAUCAUGAAGAAAUGAAUUACUCAUUUCUCAUGUCCUCAUGUUGCUAUAUCUGUUACUACUGAUGAAAUUGAUAUCAUAUUCUUCACUGAUGAAGUAUAUGGGUUCGUAAGUUGCACUAAUUCAUGUGCAGGAUGAACAACCCAAAGCUACUGAGUGGGUCCUCGAUAGUGGAUGUACAAAUCACAUGACUGGUGACAGGAACUUGUUGAUUGACACUAAUUUGUCACCAUCUCAUCUGAAGCAUAUAACCUACGCUGACAAAGGCAAAAGCAAGGUAUUGGGUCUAGGUAAGGUUGCAAUCUCAAAGGAUAGACACGUGGACAAAGUCAUGCUCGUCGAGUCCUUAGGAUUCAACCUCAUGUCUGUCUCAAUGCCUUGUGAUCUUGAUAUGGUUGUCUUCUUUGGCAAAUAUCGCUGCAUUGUGCUAAUGGAAUCUGACAAUUCCAAAGUCUUCGAAGGCUUUAGGAGAGGAGACUUGUAUAUUGUUGAUUUCUCUGCAGGACCACAGCCUACCCCAUGUCUACUUGCAAAAGCUUCAGAAGGCUGGUUAUGGCAUCGACGACUUAGUCAUGCUGGGGUGAGGAACUUGCAUAAAAUCGCGAAGAAGAAGCAUGUCAUUGGCAUCGAGGGUGUCAAAUUACUCAAAGAUCAUCUUUGUGGGGCUUGUGAGGCUGGAAAGAUCACUAGAGCCAAGCAUCCCUCGAAGACUAUCAUGACCACUUCUCGUCCCUUCGAAUUACUUCACAUGGAUCCCUUCGGCCCUACUCAUUAUGCCACGUUCACUAAUUCUGCAUCAUUAUAUGGCUUUGUCAUUGUUGAUGAUUAUUCUCGUUACACCUGGGUGCAUACACUACAAAAAAUACACUUCCAUGAUGACACGUGUUUGUCAUAGUAGGUCGCGUUUUUUUCAUGCAUGUACAUCCAUGACGAUUUUAUGACAUAAUCGGGAUAGGCAUACCUGUGCUGUCGUAGAAGUGUUCCAUGACUUUACCAAAAUUAUCAUCACGGAAGUGUCCACUUCCAUGACGAUAAAUCGCGCGUCACAGAAGUGCUUUCAUCAAAGGUGACCGACACAUGGCAUCCACCAUAACAGAACGCUGUUAAGCUAUCAGGUCCGGUUUUGGAUCCGGUAACCCAUUAACAGCCCCGGCCAAUGGGGAUUUUCCACGUAUAAAAUCAUCAUUGGCUGGAGGAAACACGUGUCCGCUCACUGUUGGGACAGAUGUCAUCCACUCAUUGGACCGAAGGCGCCUAUGAUACGGCGACACAUGGCACGGCCCAACAGAGGCCCAUUCCUGUGAAAAGGCUGGCCCCGUUUGACUUGGUUAAAAGGUGGCGGGCCGGCCCACGGAAAGCCUGUUAAUGGCCUGUUCGCAUAUAGCCCAUUUACAACCCGCUAACCCAGGGGCCGUUACGACCUCUCCGAAUUAGGCCCAGUAGCAUCAUCUGGGCCGUCCAAUAUGAUUCCAGCCCAUUUUAACUUCCAGCCCAUGUGUGGCCCAUGACUUCUUUCGGCCCAUAUUAGGCCCUUUGUAACUCUUGGCCCAUUAACGGCCCGUGGUGAAACUGGCCCAUAAUAAAUAGUGUAUCACUUUCUACCCAUUAAUGGCCCGUUAUUCCAUUGGGCCGUUUCUAGCCCAAGUUAUCUUUCGGCCUUCUGAGGGCCCAUUUAUUCUUUGGCUCAUUUGCAGCACUCGGUUACUUACGGCCUGUUACUGUCAUUUUCUGCUUGUGGGCCAAAUUCAGCCCAUCAUUACAGUCGGCCCAUUUGUGGACCGUUAAUCUGUUGGGUCAUUUUCAUAGCAUCACCAAAGACGGCCUAUUAACGGCCCGUUAUGGUCAGCCCAUAAAACGUAUGAUUUCCACUCUAGUUCGUCUACGGCCCAUUAAAGGCCCGUACAAGGCCCAUAGGUGAGUCGGCCCGUACAAGGCCCAUUGAUCCUACGAGAUGUAGAAGGCCCAUGGAUCCGACGGCCCAUUGAAGGCCCAUGGACGCGACGACCCAUAGAAGGCCAUGGAUCGUCCGUCCCAUACAUGGCAAUGGAUCGUACGGCCGUGGAGGGCCAUGGUCACUACAACGUUUGGCCGAGAUGGCCCUCGUUUGAACGAUAUAGCAUAUUCAAAGAAUUAUCCUACUCUAUACUAUCACCUCUAAAAAACAUACACUAUACAACAAAGAGACCAAGGCAUAGAAACGUAGAAUAAUCCUACACUAUACAAUAAAGAAAUUACAUCCGAUUAUACCCACUGGGCAUUAUGGUUCGGCACAGGUGAUAAUAAAGCAUACUCAAAUAGAAAAUUACAUACACUGGGCAAAUACAGCUCAUACAUCAUGGACGCGCAUCAACUUAACUCCAUUUGAACUAUAAUAUCUUCAGAAAAUAGGAUUGGCCGGAUUCAGAUAGCAGAAAUUUCAGUCUGCAAAAUCUCCAAUUCCUUCGUGGUUACCGCGGUGUCUUGUUUCAUUUUUUUGACUCCUGCAUCUAAUACCUGCAUGUCCAGUCUCAACUUGUUGAUUGUACGUUGACAAUCAUGUACACGUUGUCUUGCCACCUCUAGUUGAUGCUCGAGAACAUUAGCACAUUCCAAUUCCAAUCCAUAAUCAUUCGGUAACGGCCAUGCCUCACUGUUGCAGAUCUUUGUGUUGAUGUCACUUCAUCCUGAAAUGUUUCUGUAAGUACACAUGACUAGGGCAAAAAUAUAGUUACUACAGUGAAGCGAGCAAGACACUAUUUUGUACUACAUGGCAAAACAGGACUAACAAUAAUGUUACACGUUAUGAAGCAUAAGUAGGUGAUAUUUUAAAAAUUAUAAAAAAGAUAGUCUGUGCAGCCUGCAUACAGAAAUCUCUCUUAGCUCACCAGAGGAGCAUGAUGUUGGGGCCCAAUCCAAAACAUAGACAAGUUACAAAUUCAGACAGCAUGUUGCGUAUAAGUAAGCAAGCAGUUGGCCAUUCUAUAGCUCAAUUAAAGUCUUAGGGAGCAUAAUGAACAACAGAGGUUUCAUACAAACAUACUAUAGCAAGCAAAACUAUGCAAUCAUUAGCCUAGUAUAAACUAGAUUGUGAGCCUCAUGCAAUAAUAGUUGGUUAAUAGACUCCAAAGCUUCAGGCACACUUCGGAAGAGUAAUUAAAUGGUAAGGCCUUUAAUUAUGUCAACUAAUAGUUAUACAAGUACCCAACAUCAGCCAUGAUUCUUUGGGCAUCUCAUUAACUGAGGACAAAUAAAGCAAUUGAAAAGAGCAAAUUAACUAUGCCUGAAACAAGCAAGGAAUUGAACUAUUGAGUUGCAUACAGUGACUUACCUUAACAGGUUGAAGAGGCUUAGCGCCGCUCCUACUUAUCUUGCAAGGCUCCUUCCUAACAUCUUGUACUUAGAAAUCUUCAAUCUUAUCUUCAUUGCACCCCUCUACAAGGUGACACAAACUAGUUACUCGUCUCCUUGGAAGAUAAAUAUGCAUACUUUCCAGUCUGUGAACACAAAAGGAUGAGAUUAUAACAAAACAACACCACAUAAUGAAACAUGCCGCAUAUCUUGCACUUGCACAUAAUGAAAUGAGCAUUUACCUUGUCUGCACUAUGUAAAAACUGGGCAUACCUUCGAACUGGAUCUCCAGGUACUCUUGGAGAGCCUACUUUAGUGUACAACCAAACCUUUAUGUCACCUAUGAGUCAGACAAGGCCCCACUACAACAGCCCUUAGUGUUUAAAUCAUUGACAAGCUCUGUUAGAGUGUUAGGUCAAGAACAACAAGUAAUCAAAGCAAUACGUCCUAGUAUGGCUGGCUGAUGCAAACAAGCAAUUGAAUAGAUGUGUGAGCAAAUCUUACAUAUCAAGAAAAUAAGCAAAGAAGGAGGCUUAAAGACCAUCACUUGACUGACCAGAUUUAAGGGGCAUUUAAACAUCAUGUGCAACGUAUGAACUAACAUAAACAUUGCAUAUUCCAGAUUCUACAAUGGAGUGCACAUGUAUUAGGUUAUGCCAUGUAUGAUGAUGCCUAAAUGUACACUAUAGCAGGCAGGAGUGAUUCAUCAUUCCACGCACAAUUGAAUUGCAGGUUAAGGGCCAGUUCGAUUCCGCCUUUUCAGGGCUUAUUAUCAAAAUAAGCCAUAAAAGAUGUAAAGAAGUCAUUUUUGAGUUAUGGGCUUGGGCUUAACUAAUUUCGUUUGGAGGGGGGUGUUUCCGGUAGAACCUCACUAAAAUUGAAGGGAAGGGGAAUCGUGAAAUGACUCUGUUAUCUGCCUAUAUUACACUCAAAAUGCAACUGCUGACGCCCGUGUCACACCUGACCCUCAAGUAAAAAAAACACGCAAGCGUUCAUUGCCCUGCUCACUUGCAUCUCCUCUCCCCUUUCCCUCUACCUCGAUCCCCUGCCUGUAGCACUAGGGUUCCUCCAGCGAGCCGUCGCCAUUGGUCCCAUCUAGCCUGGUCCUUGAUGAUGCUAUGUCCAGCUAGGCUACAUGGACGUCAGGUAGGGGCAAAUCUCCCUGGCUGCUCCUCCCUCUAGCGCCACCCCUCAUUCUCAUGGUCUCCAGCAGCUGCUCCCCUGUGGUUCGUCCAACGCACUACUCCGGCGGGCGCUGCACAACUACGACUGAUGCCACACUGCGGUAGAAGGCACCUUAUUCCCCCUCCCCUCCUCCCAGGCCAUGGCCUUGAGGUGCUGCUGAAGGAUGAGCUCAUCCAACAAGGAAAGGAUCUCCUCUGAUUUUUUGCCAAAUUUUCAUUCUGAUCAACUAUACGAUGAAUUGCUAUGAGCUGCUUCUGCUGCUGCUAUAUGAUGCAUUGCUAUGAGUUGCUCCUGCUGUUGCUAUAUGAUGAAUUACUAUGAGCUGCUGCUGCUAUAUGAUGAAUUGCUAUGAGCUGUUGCUGCUGCUAUAUGAUGAAUUGCUUUGAGUUGCUGCUGCUGCUAUAUGAUGAGUUGCUAUAAGUUUCUCUGCUGAUGCUAUAUGAUGAAUUUCUAUGAGCUGCUCCUGCUGCUGCUAUAUGAUGAAUUGCUAUGAGCUGCUCCUGCUGCUGCUAUAUGAUGAAUUGCUAUGAGUUGCUCCUGCUGCUGCUAUAUGAUGAAUUGAUAUGAGCUGCUCCUGCUACUGCUGCUAUAUGAUGAAUUGCUAUGAGCUGCUCCUGCUGCUGCUAUAUGAUGAAUUGCUAUGAGCUGUUGCUGGUAUAUGAUGAAUUGCACACUCCUGCUGCUGUAUGAUGAGUUGCUAUGAGCUGCUGCUGCUGCUAUAUGAUGCUUUCAGGUGGUGCUGCUAUAUGAUAAUAACCAGCCACUUGGACCAUCAAAUUUCAAUAAAUAAUUGUUCUUCAUUUAAAUGUGGGUCAUGUGUUCUUCAUUUAAAUUAGGCAAUGAGAUCUCUAUGGAAAACAUUGACCAAAGUAGAUUGUGCCAAGUAGAUGGUAUCUUUGUAUUUGCAUUUGGAGCAAAUAGUGAUGGUAUGUUUUCCUAUCAUAUUAAUUACUGCACUGGGUUCAAUUUGUGAUGUUUGCAAGUCAAAUUAAUUUUCAUAUGGGCAGCAAAAUGAAAAAAUAUAAUGCAAUCUAGACUUUCCACUGAUCAUACCAAAGAUAAGCUGAAAACGCAAUGAAAAGAACUGGUUGGCUUAUUACAUGGAGCUUAUAUUCACAUGUGCUUAUUUUCUUAGGAUAACUCGUAAUAACUGUCCCUAAGAAACUUGGCUAAUAGACCUGACAUACAAAUAACAUGUCACGGUGAUUGCAAUGGAGGGGUGACGUACCAUAGCACACUGUAUAGGCUCACCGGUGCCUCUCCUUUUUUGUGAUGUUCCAUGAAAUUGCCACAUACAUAUUGUACUUUUUCAUUGUGUAACCCUAUCUGCAAGUUGACACGGCUAAUUUCAGACAUCUCUACAUGAUACUACAUUGCAUAUCCCUUGCGCAUAUUUAAACCACCAAUUAAGGAUUGUGUGCGUAGCAUAAACUAGCCAUGACUCUGUGUGCUGGACUAGCAGGCACUCUAAGGGAGCCUAAUGUAGUGCACUGGAAUUCCUACAUGCCACCUACGAUUUUGUGUAAUGUACUGCCUCUGUUCCUAAAUAUAUGUCUUUGUAGAGAUUCCAGUAUGGACCACAUACAAAUGUAUAUAGAUGCAUUUUCGAGUGUAGAUUCACUCAUUUUGCUCCAUAUGUAACCUAUAGUGGGAUCUCUAGAAAGACUUAUAUUUAGGAAUGGAGGUACGAGGUAGUAUCAUGUAUGACAUCUACAUAUCUAAUUUAGCAGCCAGUAGUAGAAAUCAUUGUCUGCACAAAGGGAUUACUGGUCGAAAAUCCUAGCAAAGCAUGCUGGCAGGCACAGAACAAUACAAGAGAGAGAGACAGAGACGCACUUACAAGAUCAUAGCAAUGCCUCAGUCCAGGCUCUUGGUUGGCCAAGCUGUUAGAUCCAGAAGAAACAUCGUCCUUGUAGUUUUUGCCAGCUGCAUAACAGGUAACAAUGACUGGUUAGUAUAUUUGAAGUACAUCGGGCAGGUGAUGCUGGACGGGUUUAAAGGUGACAAGUACCUAGGCCAUGGCGGGUGCUUGGCAUCUCUCCAGACGGUGGGAAUCAGGUUAGAAACGUCAAGGGUGAUGACGCUGCGCUGGCUAUUGGGGUCCGGUAAGGAGAUCUAGAACCCCCGAGUAGGGUGUUUGUGGAGCGGCUCCGAUAGGGUGGACUAUGGUGUGGGCGAAGCAGAUCUAUGGCCGUGGACGAGGGCGUAGGUGAAGCUGCUCCGGUGAUUGGGUUAAGGAUGCUAUCGACGAUGCAGAUCUGCGACCAUGGACGGGGCGUCAGAAGCUGCUCCGGUGGUUGGGUUAAGGAUGGUGUCGACAAUGCGGAUCUACGGCCGUGGACGGGGCGUCAGAAGCUGCUCCGAUGGUUGGGUUAAGGAUGGUGUCGACAAUGUGGAUCUGCGACCGUGGACGGGGCAUCAGAAGCUGCUCCGGUAGGUUGGAUGAGGGUGCGAGGAAGCGGAUCUAAGGCCGUGGACUUGUGAGUUGGCAAAGCAGCCCUGGUAGGGUUGAGAAUGGUAUAGGCGAAGCUACUCCGGUAGGGUUGAUGAUGGUGUCGGCGAAGCGGCUCCGGUAGGGUUGAGGAAGGUGUCGGCGAAGAGGAUCAGAGGCCGUCGAUGGGGGUGUCGGUGGGGCGGCUCCGGGGGGGUGUGGACGAAGCAUCUCCGGUGGGGAGUACGAAUGAGCCGUUGCAGAUGCGCGGCGGUUAACGAGAGUACCGGCAAAGCAGAUCCAGUGCCGUGGACAAGGCUGACACUGAAUGGGCUGUGGUAAAGUGGUGGAUGAGCAGUCUACUUGUUUCUAGGGGAGGUGGGAGGGGUAGAUGCGAUCGCAGAAGCAGAUCUGGCGAGGUGGACGCUGCUGGUAGUGAAUGGGCUAUGGUAUGCCGGUGGAUGAGCAGUCUAGGGUUUCGAGAGGGGAGGGGAGAAAGGGUGAUGAAGUACAGACGACGUGAUGUAAGAUGCUCUGGUGCUGUGGAGUUAGUUGUUUUGCGGGAGGGGGAGAGGAAAUGGGGGUGCCGUGUAGUGGAGGGAACCGGAAGUUACCAAAGCAGCCCCGACCUAUUAUGUAGAUGAGGACGGUAUUGCACUUCUUGGUCACCUUGCACCAAGGACAAAAGGGGAAUUUCGCAUGCUCAAGACUAAGGUGGCGGAAAUUUUAGAAGGAGGUGGGAGAUUUUGCUGCCCGCGGGAUCAUUCAUAUCCAGUUUCAACUAAUUUUGGACCGUGCUAGCGGGAAGGUCAUGCUAGACUGUGUACACGGGGCACGCGUCAGCAAUUGAUAACUGGUGUGAAGUCCACCCCAGAAAAAAAGACAAUAACUCGGGAUGAUGCACCGAUAACUUGGACGUUCACACGGGCGCGGCCAAUCGUACGGGUGUAGUGGCGCGUUCACAAAAUAAGGGAUCAAACGCUCAGCUUAUGUAUUUCUCGUGUAAAUAGAUAAUUUAGUGACAUUGGUUAUUUACUUUAAACAUAAUGCAUUGACGUGUUAGUGUAGAGGCCCACAAAAAGAAAUGGAUAUUGUAGUCCGCUACUUAAAAGUGUUACCUCAUAUGAUUAUAUAGCCUCCAUUUCAUAAAUUGCGUACCCAUUGAAUUCAUAUAUGAAUAUUAGAUAUAUUACUUCAAAAUAGAAACUUAAAUCAUCCAAGACUAAUGAAUUUGAAUGCAAGAGUAACAAUGGUGCAUGUACAUGAUAGCUACAUUAGUUGUUUGAAGAAACAUCACUGUAACUUUGGCAUGCACAACUGAAAAGGUUUAUUUAAAUAGAAAGAAAUGUGAUAUGUGAGUGUCCAAUCUUUAUAGCGUUGAAUCGAUAUUGUACCUUUGGCCACGAUACGAAGUAGAUAUUGACUUAUGUUCAAGCGAUGCACGUCCACGAUCACUAGAUAGUGAUACGUGAAUGAAUUGUGCAAUCUCUCUCACACGCAUACAUAUCUCAUUUCCCCGUGGGCAUCAGAAUCACACACGCGCACUUCGUGUAUUUCUCUCCCUCCAUCAAGGUUAAAUUCGUCUUUCUACCCCGUCCUACAAGUCUCUCACAUAGAAACACACACGCUCUCUCUGUCUAACACGCCCACCCCUUUAAUUCCGCCCACCCACAGCUACUAAUGUCUCAAAGUAUAAUAAUGUCUCUCACACAUAUGCCUAAGGUUAACUCGAGUUCCGGAACCAUAUGAAUACAUACAAUGGGAUUCCAACAGAGCACCUUUUGUUUUGAGAUUUCUCUCUCUCUCUCUCUCUCUCUCACACACACACACACACACACACGCGCGCGCGCGCGCGCGCGCACACAUUGUUUCUCGCUUCAUUUUUUCUGGCACUUGCAUGCACACUAUUUGUUUAUCUUCGUGGUGCUUUAAGUAUGCCUCGCACAAAUGCUAUCUACCUAUCCCUUAAUAUAGCUAGAUAUGUGUCACACAAACUCCUUCUCCCUACUAGCAAGAUGCCCAUGCGUUGCACGGAACGUCAAGACGCAUUUAUAUGAGUAGUUUAUCUUGUGGGAGAAAAGGAUGAACGAGGGAAUGCCUUAUUUGCAAAUGCGGAGAGGGGUGUGGGUAUGUUUUUGCAAAAUUACAUAGUUUCCUUCCUAUCCGUUGGAUAUAAAUCGGAUAGCCUAUAUUGCAGGAUGGCCGGAACACCAACAUCACCAACUCUGUUUUUUAUAAGAGUAGAGAUAUGUGAGUGUCACUGCCUCCCCCCCCACACACCCACACACCCACACUUCCCAACACCGAAGGAGUAGGGUGACACCUCGAUCUUGAUACUAAUCUGUCAACUGGCUUCUCUCUCAAACAUACACACACACACACACACUACCCGACACCGAAGGAGUAGGGUGGCACCUUGAUCUUGAUAAUAAUCUAUCUACUCCUCUUUCAAACACACACACACAUACACACACACACACACACACGCUAGUUGUGCCUCUGUGCCUACCGCGCACACCCUCGAUAUGUCUUUCUCCCCCCCAACAAUGACAGCAGAAGGGCGACAACUCGAUGUGAUCAUAAUAUGUCAAUUGUUUCUCUCUCAAACAUUGUGUCUCGGUGCCUCGCUCGGUAGCCCCCUCGAUAUGUAGACUUCUCGCGCAUGCACAGCUGUAGUGUCGAUGACACUGAACCCAGUGUGCCUUGUUUUUACCGGCCUCAUGUGAUAGCUUUCACCCUGUUUUCUGUUAAUUAACAAGGCAACCUUUUCUUUGUUACUACUAGUGAAUCUGAAAUCAUUCGGGGCAGAUAUAAAAUAUAUCACUUCAACCCAAUUAUCGCAACAACUAUUUUAAAAGAAACUAGCUAGCUACCUAUGUGUUGCACGGAACAUCAAGAUGCAUUUGUAUGAGUAGUUUAUCUUGUGAGAGAAAAGGCUCAACAAGGGAAGGCCUUAUUUGCAAACAUGGAGAGGCAUGUGGGUAUAUUUUUGCAAAAUUGCCAUAGUUUCUUUCCUAUCCGUUAGAUAUAAAUCCGACGGCCAUAUUGCAGGAUGGCACGCACACCAUCAUCACCAACUCUGUUUUCUACUCCCUCCGUUCCUAAAUACUCCCUCCGUCCGAAAAUACUUGUCAUCAAAAUGGAUAAAAAGAGAUGUAUCUAAAACUAAAAUACGUCUAGAUACAUUUCCUUUUAUCCAUUUUGAUGACAAGUAUUUCUGGACGGAGGGAGUAUUUGUCUUUUUAGAGAUUUCAACAAGUGACUACGACCGGACCUUACCAACAUACUCAAAAAAGUAGUCCAUAAUUUCGAUGUUACCCUCUUUUCUUAGCGAUGCAGUGCCAUCUGGAUACCUCAUAAAUAAAUCAAGGAGAAAUCUGACUCCUUCCUAAAAAAGACAUACGGAGCAAAAUGAGUGAGUCUACACUCUAAAAUAUGUCUACGUACACAUCCGUAUGUGGUAGUCCAUUUGAAAUCUGAAAAAGACAAAUAUUUAGGAAUGAAUGGAGUAUAAGAGUAGACAUGGAGAUAUAUCUCCAGCAUGAUCUAUAACAAAAAUGUGUUGGACUGGUUAGCGCCGGAUGCUCGCAACGCGAUGACAUGAGUUCGAAUUUUGUCUUUUAACUUUAGAUUUUUAUAUAAUAUUAUAUACUACUUAUUUAAUAUAUACUUCUUUCGCUACCGUAAUGACAGUGAAACCCACAAAGUACUUAGAAUACAACAUUAAGGAUGGACUUGUUUCUUUUUAACUUUCUAUACGAAGUUGUAGCCACCCUACAAGUCACAUGUACACUGUACUUGCAAUUAACUUUUUAUAGAGGGACAAUCAUACAGGCAAUUAACUCAAAUGGAUUGGAUGUCACUCUAUUAUUUCCAGCAUAAGAGCAUCUCCAACGGCACCCGACAAAUUUCCUCCCGCUUCCUUCCGCGAAGGACGACACUAAACGCCAGCGGCAUACAUUUUCACAACACUAACCAACCAGAUGAAAUCCGUGCAAACACGGACUGAUUUCAUAUAAGCAUGAGGGAUUUCGUAUAAAAAAGCCGGAUCUUCAUAUAAACAUGAUGGAUUUCAUUACAUUUACAUGAACUAAGCGGUGCCAAUCCGGCUCUCUUGGUAUAAUUAAUACUCCCUCCGUCCGGAAAUACUUGUCCUAGAAAUGGAUGUAUCUAGACUUAUUUUCGUUAUAGAUACAUACAAUCUAUCCAUUCUUAGAACAAAUAUUUCCCGCCAGCUGCAGAGGGAGUACAUGAUCUAAAUGGCCGCCCACAGAUCCCUUUGUCUUCCUCAUGUCCGUCAGACACUUGCGGGGUCAACGAAGGUCCUCGGAAGAGAUGAAGCAGCAAAGAAACCACCUGAAUGCGCAGUCGUCGCCUCGGCGGUGGCCUUCAUGGGUCACAAGUGGGGGCGGCCUCUCGUGUUCUACUUCUCCUCGAUGAUGACGGCAGACACGGAGAAGCUGGCCACCAACUCGUCGCUCUCCAUGCACCCGGCUUCUGUCUCUGCCUGCAUGGAGCUGCUGCAGGCACAGGAGGCGCGCCCACAGACACGGGAGGCGCGGCCACUGUAGACACUGGUGGGGCGAUAUGACGCGGCAGCGAUGAUGCCCAUACCAGUGUGCUCACCGUCGUGCCGGCGUGGAGCAACUCGCCACUCUUCAUCGAGCUGAACUAGAGCGGCGAGCUGCUGAACCACGCGCCUGCUUGGGGCGGCAACUGACUCCGUCGGGCUAAGCAAGGUUGGUGAAGCACCGAGCGGCCUCGCCCGUAUCCGGAGGGCUCGGCGAGCCACCCAGCCGGGUAAUAUGCCGGAGAACGGCUCCUCGAAAGCCAUCGGAAGAGUGGAGAAAAUGGUGAAGGAGGAGAUGGGGGAGCGGCGGAGGGGUGCGAUUCUUGCCCGUUGUCUCUCUGGCCUCGUGUAAAUAGAGGGCUGACGGUAGGAGCUUGGCUAAUGUCUGGCCUUGUUUAAACUAAGGGCGGAUGGGAGGAGCUCGGACGGUGUUGCGUUUAAAUCCGCCCCGCUCAUGAAGGAACGUGUGGCUGGAGUAGGAUUCUCGGUUUGCAUGCGGGUUUAAUGGAGGGGUUUAAUGGAGGCGAGGAGGCGUGUCCAGCCGGGUGUGCAGCGGGCGGCGCAGUACUAUUCAAUUUGACAGCAGUAAUGAGCCGUCAAAUCACAAAGGCCCUCGCCUCUUAUGAAACCGACCAAGAUAGACUGCCCCGCCCUCUAGCCUUUUAAAAAAUGUAUAUACUCCACUUUUGUACAGUAGUAGUAUCGAUGGAUUGUGCCAUGGAGCAAAACUUGAAAUUAAAAAAAGGUGGUACAUAUAGAGAGCGCUCGUUGCCAAAUUAUGCAUAUGGUACUAUUAAAAAGGCUAGUCACAAUAAUGGUUCCCAGCACAACCCACCCCUCAAAUAAAACUAAGCACCCUGAAAUUCUUUUACAAAACUAAGCAUGCUGAAAUUCUUUGACAACUAAACUGCUGGCUAUAUGAUGUUGGCCAUAUAUAUUGUACAUAUAUAAUGUGAAGAAACGAGUGGUAGUACUAUACCAACUAAAAUAUGAAAUGUAAGAAAUACUAGUAUGUACGUACUGAAGAGUUAAAGUAACGAGAAGAAACAUAACAUAGUUCUGUUGGGGGCUCAGCAUAACAUACCCCUCAAAUUAAACUAAGCACACCUGAAAUUAAACUUAGCAACUAUUCCGGUAGACACUGCAUUAGAACCACCAUGAGCAAUGACACUUCCACCUUACUCGGAGUCCUCGUCCACAUCCUCGACUUCGUCCUUGUCCCUCUUCCUCUUGGUCGAUACUUCUUUGCUUGAUCCGCACACUUGGCUCUUGCUCUUCAUCCAACCCUUGUAGAUAUUGAAACAAAGGUAUCCAUCCAUUGCAGCGUAGUGGAUGUGGUCUAUAUCUAGUACAUUCCGCUGCCAUGCAUGACGAUGAAACGUGUAUUGAGGUUUCUCUAGUUUACCAUACGAAGGAUGAACCAUGGCUCCUGCCAGGGUCAGCAUUGAAGGCUUGCCACUGGAGGGCAGCAACCAAUUCUUCUGGAGGUCGAAGGGGUUGCCUACAACGAGGCCUAUCCGACCUAGGAUUUUUUUGUCGUUCAUGAAGUCUACAGUAACGAAUUUGACUAGGUUGCUCUUGAGGAAGUUCUUAAAAUCCAGGCAUUCAACAUCGGCAUGGCAUAUGUGGUAGACCAAGCAUAAGUCAUGCACGCAAACCUGGAUCACGGCGGGCUUCUUCCUCUCUUCCUCAUUUAGAUCUUUCUCUCGUCCCAAGACUGUGGUGUACUCAAUAUCUAGCCUAGCGACCCACUCAUCAUCUGAGUUUUCGAACACGUGUCUGAAGCGAGAAAGGCAUCCUUUCACCAUCGCGGAAGAACGGGUGUAGAUGACGUCGAACUCAUUGCCGGUGAUGGUUAUAACCUUGUACUCACCGCCGAUCAUGGAGAUUUGGGACGCCAUGGAUUUGGGAGGAGGGUUAGGAUAAGUGGAACUGUCAUAAUGUUAAAGGACGGGACGACUAGGAGCGAACCAUCGUAAUAUUAAAGGACGUGCGGGGACGAGUAGGAGCGAACUGCCAGCGUGCGAAUGACAGGGUAGUGGCUUUCCAUUCUCCCAUGAUACGGGCUUCCGAGAGCCCUUGGAUUUGAGAUCAAAUGGUUGCAUGGUGUGAUUCUAGACCUGUGGGUGAAUAUCCUAUCCUGGAGGGUUAUUCUACAAAUUUUCAGCAACUUAGCAUGCGACCGUUCGAUCUCAGAUCCAAGGGCUGCCAGCAGCCCGUAUCAUGGUCGCACCUACCACGACCGUCGCGUCGCUCGCGCGGUCGCGCCCUUGGAGAUUUAACAUGGUGCGUUAGGCUAUCUGAUGUUGGCAUGUCAUCACUUAGUCACUCAUACUACAACAAGGUUAGCUAUAAGGUUGGCUAUAAGUGUAUUUAUUUUUUACUUCUCUCUAUCUCUUUCUUCGUACUCCCUCCGUCCCAUAAUAUAAGAACAUUUUUGACACUAGUGUAGUGCCAAAAACGUUCUUAUAUUAUGGGACAAAGGGAGUAGUAUUUAUUGCAUUUGCCAAGGAGUGACCUCUUCCAAUGAAAUGGUGCUUAGAUGAGGUUCUAAGGGCAUUAAAUGGCUUAGCAAUCAAGUCCCCAAUGCAUAGGUGCCUAUUAGUAGUUUUUUGUUGCUAAGUUUGCUUCAUUUAAUUAGCUAUAGACUCAAAAUUGUCUUUUCACCUAGGUACACACACUUAGCACCGUUUCUUCCUUGGGUCACCACACUAGUCUCUCUCUUCUUAAUUAACGUGCCACAUCAGACUUUAUGCCUAUGUGGCAAGCUUAGCACAUGUAGGAGCAAGUAAGUACAAUAGUGCGCUUUACAUGGCAUUUUUGCAUAUGUGGAGGAAAGAGAGGCAAAGAAAAAGUGGAGAAGUGGGCUCUCAUGCAAGAGCCAGCCUCUACUACAUGGUGGAGCAUUGGGAGAGGCACCUGUAUGGAGGUGGUCAGGAAUCGGGAGACUCAUGCCAGUUGUAGCGCCGCAGUUAAAAUGAUAAUGGCAAGUCAAAUCACGGGGCCCCACCUGUCCAGCAGUAACUCACUGUCAAAUCACAUAGCCCUACGUUUGCAGCAGCCUACUCCCUCAUCUUCUCGCGUCUCUGUCGAGCCGACUAGGCGGAACUGCCCCGCCUACCGCGCAGGAAAAGCCCCACCCUCGAGUUUUAAAUAGUACAUUAUACUCCCUCCGUCUAGGUGACCAAGGUGGAGAGGAAAAUGAGAGAACUUAAUGUUUGUUUGCUAAAGCUGGUUGUAAUGGUAGUAUCAUAGCUAUAUCAUGCAAGCCAACUAGGCAAUUUUGAUGAGGUGUUAUAGAAUUAAAUGAAGAAAGAGAGAGUUGAGUAUCAUAUCAUGAUACUGUAUCAUAAUAAAUGCUAUGCUACUAUGUGUCAUACAUGGCAAUAAAUAAAGUACUACAUGAUACUAAUAUAUGAUACUAAGCAUUAUUAAUAUCAUUGCGUGCAACGAACUGACCACUGCAUGUCAUGUUUGAUAGUCUCAAGUCAUUAAAAGCAUACAAGCCCACAUCUCUUAUUGGUUGAUUCCUCUAUUUAUGUCAAAAAAUAAGAAACAACGUGAGAGUUAAUGCACCGUUCCUAUGUGUUUACUAUUUGGUUUUCAUAAGAUGACUUACUCACCUAGACGGAGGGAGUAUUCGAUUUUAUAGCAGGCAGCAUAGUUCCCGAUACGGCUUUAAUGCAGACAAGGGAGGGAGUAGCAGUUCCCGAAGUAUUGAACGGCCAAUGCAUCCUCCUUCAAUUAAUGCAUGAGGGAAGUAAUGGGAGGAGGUCCGGAAAAAGAGGCUGCACGAUGUGAAUGCAACGCAGUUUGCCCUCAUUGCCCUCAUAUAAAGGCGCCCCUCCAUUCCAAUGCAUCUACCACAUCGUACGCACCUAAGCAUUUGCCUAAGCACCUACACUAAGCACAAAAGAGCUCACUCCAGACCCAUGGCGGCGAUGCGCGUGAGCGGCCAGCGGCUGUGCCAGAUGGUCCACGACGCCGGCCUGCAGCAUGACAUCGAGGAUCGUCUCCAGACGGUGUUGGAGGCCGGCUGGUGGAUGGCCACCGUCGAUGCCAACUACGACUCUCAGUUGGACCAGAUGAUCGUUGCGACCAGCAACAAGUUCACCGACCUCAAGAAGCUCGUGGAUGACAUCGCCGUACUCCUCCAGCCCGCGCUCGGGCUCCUCAUUGCCUGCCACCCUAAUCGGCCUCCAUGGCCGGAACCUCUUUCAAGCACUGGUGGCCCUGCGACUGCCCGCCGAUGCCAUGAAGAAUGUCCACCUGGAGGUUGCACUCGCUGCGAGGCGCCUCACACUGCAAGAAUUCGUCGACCUACACAUCCACAUGUACGAGCAAAUCGUGUACAUAUGUAUCUACAAGGCCAGUGAGGACACUACGACGUUGGCCUUUCUCAACCGGCUAGAAGUCUUGGAUGCCUUUGCUGAGAAGCACCUCGACCUCGCCACAAAAGCCGCCGCUCCGUAACCACCGGUCAGUGGCCCGGUGCACUAAUUUGAGGAGGAGGAGGAGGUCGUACGUUCAUGGAUCCAUAUUUCUUCUUGCCUUUUGUAACCACCACUGCGAUCGCAUCAUCGUGGCCUUAAUUCUUAUUGCGCUGUUGCAUUCUCGUUCCAGUAAAUACCGACAUGUACGAUCCCUUUGCUUAAUUGUAUGCAUCACUGUAACUAGUACUUCAUUCGUCAAUUUAUAAGUUGUGCUUACCUUUUCCAUCAACUUCGUGCAACGCGCGGGCAUCUUGCUAGAAACACUAGAACAUGUCGGACCGCGUGUAACCAAACCGAUGAUGCGCCAACCUAGUACUAUGUACCCUGCUUAUCUGGCGGAAAUAGCCCCUCCCUAGCGUUUCCAAUCGUUAUUUCUAUCUAUCGAUCGUGCCAAGGAGCGGAACCAAAUGUUACAAUUUAUCCAUGUUUCUCUACUCCUACAUUUUUCCUUAUAAAAGACUUAGUUGGUGAUGGUGGUGUGUCUGUUAUCCGUCGUUUUUGACCAUUAGAUCUGCAUCUAAUGGCUGUGAGGUAAGUUGUGGCAUUUUUGCAACAAUACCCACUUCUCUGCUCCAAUUUGCAGAAAACCCCUUAUUAUCUUGAAAGCAACCACAUCCCUCCCUCACCUCAUCAAAACAGCCUAAGAAAUAUAUUUUGAGUGAAAAGUACUUCCUCUAUUCCUAAAUAUUUGUCUUUCUAGAGAUUUCAAUAAGUUACUACAUACGGAGCAAAAUGAGUGAAUCUACACUUCAGAAUAUGUCUAUAUAAUCCGUAUGUGGUAGUCCAUUUGAAAUCUCUAAAAGGACAAAUAUUUAGGUACGGAGGGAGUAAUAUAUUAGGAGUAUAUCAAAACAAGAGUGAUUUCUUUCAAGUAUGUGAACAAGUACUACUAUUCUACUACUUUGGAUCUGUUGCAAUGCACGAGCACAUUGCUAGUAAAAGGAAAAGGCCUGUCGCGUUCGCAUCGCACCCCCACACGCCCGGGAAUCGGGAGUACUCCACGGCCCGUCCGGCACGACACAUAUCUUAGGGAAGGCGUGUUGCCUAGCAUUUUCACUUUCAUGUGGGACCGCCAUUGAGUAAACCUACUAUUGCGAACCGCACCCCGCCCGCUGCCAGGUUGGAAAACAGAAACGAGGGGAAGAUCUAGCUGUAGCACGGAAGCCAAGAAAUUUGGUGUCAGAUGGGGCUCAUUGAUAGAGUAGGAGCAUUCCGUACUAGUACUACUCCUACUAGUACCAAGUUUGUACUCCUAAUACUAUAUUACUAGUACUACCACUAUACAACUAGUAGGUACGUGCACGACACAACAUCGUAGGAACAAAAAACGGGAAGAUCUUGUUUUGGGUGAUUUAUAUUUUUUUCAGUCAACGUAGUAUGAAUAAUAUGAUGUGGGGGGCACCCAUGAAGCUUAUGUGGCUUGGUUGCAUGGCUAUGAAAGGUUAGAGAAAAAUAAAUAGAUAAUGUGUUUAGAGUGCACUCCACUAAAUAGAUAUACUUUGGAUCCAUUGCAACGGACCGACACAUUUAUAUCUAUACCCCCUAUAGUGUGUGAAAAACUUUGAAAGUUGGUCGUUGGAUGAAGCCAAUCCGAUGGUACAAAGAUGGCAAAUCCGAGCACUACUGGCCGUUGGAUAUCAUCCACCAGAUUCCUCCACAUGUAUAAUCUAGAAGACUCCAUGGUUGAACUUAAUUCAUGACUUACUUUUCCACAACUAAGCUUAGGCAAAGUUAUUAGUUCUUACAAAUGAGAGCCACAAGUUGGCAAGCCUAAGGGAAUAAUGCCACAUUUUUUGUGUGUAUGUCAUGUGGGGCCUUAGUGUGGCUUGCCUAAGGUGUGGCUUGAACCAAACACUCACCUAAGUUAGUCAAACUUGCCUAACCUUACGUGUGGCAAUCUUUGGCAAUCUUAGUGGUUGUUUGGUUCCUAGCCACACCUUGCCACACUUUGCUACACCUAACCUUAGGCAAGUUUGACCAAGUUAGGUAGGUGUUUGGUUCUAGCCACACCUAAGGCGAAGAUUUUUUUUAUGAGCAGUGAGCCCCACAUGUCAUAGACACAAAGGGGUUGUUUGGUUCUAGGCCUAGCAUUGCCACAGUUUGCCACACAUUUUUGCCAAGCUUGCCUAAGGUUAGUUCAUAAAAAUGAGAGCCACAAGUUGGCAAGACUAAGGGAAUCUUGCCACAUGUUUUAUGUGUAUGCCAUGUGGGGCCCAAGUGGGGCUUGCCUAAGAUGUGGCUUGAACCAAACACUCCCCUAAGUUGGUCAAACUUGCCUAACUUUAGGUGUGGCAAUCUUUGGCAAAGUUAGUCACAAACCAAACAAGCCCUAAUAACUUUGUGGCAAGAUUCCCUUAGGCAAGCCAAAGUGUGGUUAACAAAGCAACUCAACUAAGGCAAGUGUGGCAAAAAUCAUAUGGCGAUAUAUGGCAAAGAUAGUCACAAUUCAAACAGCCCUACUAACCAAACAACGCCUACCUUAGGCAAGUUUGGCAACAUUGUAUGAUAAAGUGUGGCAUUGCUAGGCCUAAAACCAAAUAACCCCUAUGUUUGCCGCAAAAAAUGUGGCUAACAAAAUGGGCACCACAAGUGUGGCAAGAUUUGGCAAGAAGUUGAGUCUGUGACAUGUGGACCAUGUAGCUAGAAAAGUGUGGCAAGCCACAAGUGUAGCAAUGAACCAAACACAUGCCUAAGAUAUUGUGGCAUGCCUAAGCUUAAGCGUGGCAACCUUAGGCUGCAAACCAAACAUCUAUAUAUCGAUACCCCUAUAUAGUGUGUGAAUAACUUUGAAAGUUGGUUGUUGGAUGAAGCCAAUCCGACGGUACAAAGAUGGUAAAUCCGAGCACUACUUGCUGUUGGAUAUGAUCUACAUUCCACCAGAUUUUGCCACAUGUAGAAUCUAGAAAACUCCACAUGUAGAAGCAUAAUGCAGAAACCACCACAAUCUCAUGCGUGCAAUGCACGUGGACCUUACUAGGACUAGUUGGUAGUAGUAAGAAACAAAUUCCAGUUUUGGCACAAGCUCAUACUGCGGGAGCAUCACAAUGCCUGCCACAGGAGUUACAUUUCCCUCUCGGGGCCCACGCGAUCGAACUUCAGUGGCUUAGUGCCCGGCCUAUGAGUCAAUGACAUGCGGACCUUAAAUGCGGCUGGCCCACAUGUCAUUCUCAUGGUGGUGGCGUGGUUCGCGACUCACUCGUUCAAGAUGAACCGGCCGAUGGUGGCGUGGCCGUGGCAAGGGUGCCACAGCUGGGCGUCGGGGCAUUACGGCGGGUAUUACCUGUAGUACAGAAGUACUCCAGCUGAGGAUUGAUGCCCGGGACGAAAUGUGUCACAGUCACUGGAUGAAAAUUGGAUGGUGCGAGAGUACGGAUCGGAGCACAGCAGCAGAGCAGGCAAACUCCGUCCAAUCGGGUGUGUCUGUGGUAGAAAGUUGAUGGUCGCCGUAGUUCAGCUGGCCCGCAUGUCAUGCACACAAAGGCAGAGGAGCGGUGGGGCCGAGAGGGAUGAGGCGCACGUAGGGGGAUGAGGAUCCCCUGACACGAACAAUCCUACCAUUUUGUCACUGACAUGUGGGACCGCCAAGCGUGGGUCCCACCUAUAAGCGAAGGAAAGGCAGGGCAAGGCAGUGAUAGCCACGUCAGAGAAUCCAUGUCCACGUCAGGGGACGUCGUGCCAUGGGUUGGAGCAGCAUUGUGGGAAUCGCGUGUGGGUGUGGCAGUGGUAGAAACAAGAAACAUGAUGGUCGCCGUGGUUCAACUUCCAUGGACAAGCUGUCAUGUCUGCUAACACAUGUAUAUCAAAACUAGAGUGUUUAUAUUUCAAGCACGUGAACAAGUAUUAUUCUACUCCCUCCGUCCCAAAGUAAGUGUCUCAACGUUAGUACAACUUUGUAUUAGAGUUAUUAUAAAGUCGAAACACUUAUUUUGGGACAGAAGGAGUACUACUUUGGAUCGAUUGCAACGCACGGGCCAGCACAUUGGUAGUAGUAGUGUAUAUCUCUAUCUCUAGAGGCCUUCCCUUGUUCAUCCUUUUCUCUCAAAAGAUAAACUACUCAUACAAAUGCAUCUUGAUGUUCCGUGGAACGCACGAGGAUGUUUCCUUGGGGGUCUCUCCAGCACGGCGUGGCCGUAGUUGCAAGUUGACGCUGCUUGAGAUGCCGACAUUGAGGGGCACUCGGAUUUCCCCCGAUGAGCAGGUAAGAUGAGUUUGAUCAUGUAGUAAAUGCAUUCUUAAGACUACUUCCGUGUCCAUUUCCUAAUUCUCCCCCUGCCCACUAUUUCACAGGUUAGGCUCGAUGCGAGUGGAGAUUGGCUUGCAUAUGUACGGGAGGGUACCAACAUCAUUUUGCACAACAUUUACAACGGUGACACCGUUCUAGUAGAACCUUUGUCCAACAUUGGGAUCAGCCAUGCAAUGGGACACCAUAUGAAUUGGUACGAUGGAACCACGGUGAGAUUGAAUAAGAUAGCACAAACCUUGCACAUGGCAGUCAAAGGCGGACCAUGCUGUCUGCGGCCGACUUGUUGCAGUACGAGUACAAAGACGUUGUGUUCCUUUCUAACCGCAUCUUUGCGGUGACAAACCAGGGGACUUAUUUCAUAUGGGACAAUCCUACGAUAUACUCCCUCUCUCCCAGUUUAUUUGUUUUGAAUAUUUUCAUUUUAUAAGUUUCAAAUUCAAAUUUAGAGCUCCCCAUCACAUGUUGAGAUUACAAUGUCCACUAAAAGGUUGUGUGCAUUUAUAGUAAAGAAACAAAUCUCGAGUUUGGCACGAGUUCGUGCAGCGGUAGCACCACAAGGCCUGGGGCGCAGGAGUUACAUUUCCCUCUUAGGGCCGUCGGGACUGAGCUUCAUCGCCUUACUACACCUGCCUUUGAGUCAAUAACAUGUGGACCCGAUAGGUGACUUGUCCACAUGUAAUGCUUCCGAAGGCAGAGGGGCAGUGGGGCUGAGAGGGGUGAGCCGCAGGUCGGGGGACGUGUGGUGUCAUGGGUUCGAGCGGCGUCGUGGGAAUCACGUGUGGCUGUGGUAGAAACUUGAUGCUCGCCGGAUUUUAGGUGGCCCACAUGUCAUGCACACAAAGGCAGGGGCGGUGCGGCCGAGAGGGGUGAGGCGCACGUCGGGGGACGUGGUGACGUGGGUUGGAGCGGCGUCGUGGGAAUCGCGAGUGGUAGUGGAUGAAACGUGAUGGUCGCCGUAGUUGAACUUCCAUGGACAAGUUAUCAUGUCUACGGACACAGGCACUACAUACCAAUCACUGGAAGGAGUAGCAGAGAAAGCUAUAUAUGCGGAUAAAUAGUUCCUUAUAGUCAAGCGAACCCACGCUACUACUUUGUUCCAAAGACAAGCACACCAUCGAAAUAGUCCAUCUAUAUCAAUAUACACCGAGAGGGAAUAAUUAUUUUUAUAAGAGAGGAAAUAGUUCAUCCAUCCAUAAUGCCCUCCUGCUGGUGCAGCCUUUUCUUCUUCUUCUUCUUCUUCUUCUUCUUCUUCUUCUUCUUCUCCUUCUUCUUCUUCUUCUUCUUCUUCUUCUUCUUCUUCUUCUUCUUCUUCUUCUUCUUCUUCUUCUCCUCCUCCUCCUUCUUCUCCUCCUUCUCCUCCUCCUCCUCCUCCUCCUCCUCCNNNNNNNNNNNNNNNNNNNNNNNNNNNNNNNNNNNNNNNNNNNNNNNNNNNNNNNNNNNNNNNNNNNNNNNNNNNNNNNNNNNNNNNNNNNNNNNNNNNNNNNNNNNNNNNNNNNNNNNNNNNNNNNNNNNNNNNNNNNNNNNNNNNNNNNNNNNNNNNNNNNNNNNNNNNNNNNNNNNNNNNNNNNNNNNNNNNNNNNNNNNNNNNNNNNNNNNNNNNNNNNNNNNNNNNNNNNNNNNNNNNNNNNNNNNNNNNNNNNNNNNNNNNNNNNNNNNNNNNNNNNNNNNNNNNNNNNNNNNNNNNNNNNNNNNNNNNNNNNNNNNNNNNNNNNNNNNNNNNNNNNNNNNNNNNNNNNNNNNNNNNNNNUUCUUCUUCUUCUUCUUCUUCUUCUUCUUCUUCUACACUCUUAUGUGAUGCUAUUGAACACAAUGGCAUCAUCUACGCGAUCGACAAAGCAGAUGGCACCACGUAUUGCUGGGACGGCGCGUGUAAGUUGUUUCCUUCUCAUGUUAACGAUGACGCCAUGACACUGUUUGAACUUUUUGUGAUGAUUGGCAUAUCCAUGUUUGAGCAGAAUUUGAGUAGAACUAUGGCAACGUAUUAGCGACGCCGUAAGUCACCUAUAUUUGGAAUGAGUUAAUUCAUGUGAUUGUGACCAUGUCAUUACAGCCAAUUUGUACCCCUGAAUAAUCAAACAGUUAGGAAUAUAUGGAUAUUAUCCUUAUUUUACAGUAAUCUAUAUACUACUACUAAAUAUGAGUGUGUAUCAAUGGCCAUGUUAGUUUCCUCAUUUUCAUGAUGUAGAAACAUGCACCACACUGUUGGUUUCAUCUAACCAUACAUUGGGGAAGUAAAUGUGCAUAUGGAGAACUCUAUAUUUGGAAGUAGUGAAAUCCUGCAAUGCUUACCAUGUGUACAUACCUAUAUUCUCCCUUCAGCGAUCAAUUGCUAGAAUAAUAUCCUCACAAAAAAUUUGCCCACAGAACACGAGUAUAUAACAAUGCAUGGUCUGUUAGUUACCUUGAAGAAUUUGUUUGUGAGGACAGAACAUGAUUACAUAACAUGCAUGACAUGGUAGUUUCCUGUGAAGAAUCGAUUGCGAGAUAACAUGAGUAUAACCAUGCAUGGCACUUCUAUAUUUUCGAACCCAGUAUACAUUUCCCUGUAUUUUCCUCCCAGUUCCAACAGGGACAUAUCAAUGGUGUUUCUUGCAUUAUCCUACUCAUACUCUGAACAAUGUUGAUCUUACAUUAACAAUGCAUGUCCUUUUUCAUAUGAUGCAGUGUCCCUACAGUUACUGCCCUUUGUAAUCACACCACCUUUGCCAAAAACGGGGAAGCACAACUAGUUCCUCGCUCGAUCAGACGACGGCAAAAGACUGAUGAUCAUUCAGACACAUGAGCCGGAAAAGUUAUAUUGCAAAAACCCCACUGUAUACAAGCACCGUGAAAUACGUGAGUAUCCGCACAAUGGUUGUUACGUCUAUGAGCAGGAUACCAGCUUGUUGGGGCCUUCAGGAUUUUUUAGUUGGAGGCGGGUAAACAGCCUUGGUUCACACUCUCUGUUUCUCAGACUCAAUUAUCCGAUUAACCAUGAGAUCACCAUUGGCAAGGACCUUGAUGGCAGAGAGGCUCUGUUUGCUAUGGAAAACUGUGUCUGCACGGCGAGCCCUAGGAGUUCGGGAGCAAACUCCCCCGAUUGUCAACGAUACAACCUGCAGCCAAAAGAAGGUGAGAAUGACAAAGGCAUCCGGAUUAAAUUUGAUCCUUGGAUGUCUCAAUUACGACAUGCAGUGAUGUGGUUCAAGCCUUCAGGUUGAUAGGUAAUUGGGCUAUUGCAUCAAAAGGGUGGAGUACUGGUGUCUCCGGAUCACUCGUCGCUGAAGCGGGGCUGCAAAUUAUGAUGGUGUUGGAUCUGAUAUUCGAAUGACUUUGUUGUAUUUGCUGCUGGUUCUGGAUGGGUAGUUCUUUCUUUUGUUAUGCAUAUUCCUUGUCAUUUGGUCAUCCUCGUCUAUGUCACUCUUACUAUGUAAUAGUUGCCUCUGUUUAGAAUGUCAUUCUCGUCUGGAUCACGAGAGUCUGAGCGCUGCAGAUGGGUGCGUUUUGGUGGUGUAGCAAGACUUCUUAUGAACUAUCAUGUCUUGUUGUUUAUGUCAGUAGUAGUCACUAGUCAGUGUUUGAAUGUUGUAUAUAUCGUUGUUUCGAACUAUUUAUUGUCUCAAACUACUGGUGGGCUAAAUGAAAGCAUCACCAUUCUCCAGUGUUCAGAGUAUAUCUCCUUUUUUCAAGUUAUAUAAUUUGAGCUCAGUGUCUUUUCGAUGAUGUACACUUGUUUGGGCCAGUGAGGUGUCGUUGAAUAUGGGCAGAGUAGUAACGCAACGCCAAACAGGUCAAUUAUGACUCUCAGGCCGGGAUCUCAAAAGAUCCUUAAAAAAGGCUGGGCUCUCCAAAAUAGAAAGAUUAAGGACUCCUAGGCCGACAUGUGGGCGCCACCGGUGUUUUCGUGCGCUUGCCGCCGAGAGAACAUUGGCGUGUGCUCGAAAUUCAUGCUACCUUUUCAUCCCCAAUCUCCCGCCCCUCCCCCACCUCUGGAAUCUCGAUUCCUACUCCAGUUCCCCCAAAUCCCCCUCCUGUACUCCCUGUACUCAAGCGCACUAUCAUGUCACCGGUCAACGCGGAUCUCGGAGCCGGAGAUCCUGAGGUCCGUCCUGCCUUCAGUCGCUGCGUGCUAUCGCUCAACAGUGGCAUGGCAGCGCUUGACGACCAGUUUGCCGGCAAAGUGCUGAUGGUAACCAUCAACGGCGACCGGGCUCCCGUCUCGCCGGACGACCUUGUCAAAGCUCUUGGCAUUGCGCACGGCAUCCAAAUAAGUGACUUGUCAUCGAAGUCUGUCUGCCACCGGCUGAUUUCUUCGUCAGGUUCCGGACAACUUUCGACUGUAGUCGUGUGUUUGAAUCUUCCCGACGUUUGUUCUGUGAUGGCGCGCUGGUGAGCUUUGAUAGGUGGCACCCAGGAUUGGGCUCGGUGCUCUUUGAGCUUGAGUUUUUAACAAAGCUUAGAGCAUCUCUAGUCGCGCCCCCAAUAGGCCCCCCAGGCGACUUUUUCGGCGCCGACGCCAAAAAAAA